GUUCAAUCUCCUUUAAAAUUAAUUAAAAGCAGUAAUUAAUUUAAAAUUGCACCAUAGGUUUGAACACGUAUUAAAAUCAGGUAAUAGGCCAAUUAUAAUAGUUUAAGCGAACAUGCUAGAACCACGAAAUCCGGGGGUGCCUAACACCUUCCCUCGGGUUAACAUAAUUCUUUAUUCAGAAUUUCUGUUUAGCAUACUUCAAAAGGAAAGUCAAAUUUUCCUUGAUUUGGGACUUAAAAUAAACCGAUGACUUGGGACACUAGAAAACAAACUUAUCCUGAGUGGUGACUCUAAACAAAAACCAAAUAAAUAAAUAAUCUUAUUUUGAAUAAUGUCACUUAAAUUGGAAAAACUCCCUUAUAUACUACCCUUCGGGGUGAUGUGUAAAAAAAGGAGGUGUGACAGCUCUGGUGACUCGCUUGGGAGACGAACCCAAAACUUUGGUUCAGGGUUCAUGAAUUCGAGCUUAGAAUAGUUGUUAUGAUUGGCUUUACCUGCUAUCUAAUUUUCCUACAUGUUUCAUGCCUAAUGUGCUAAAUGCUUUACCGCUUUGAUAUUUGGUGAAUUNNNNNNNNNNNNNNNNNNNNNNNNNNNNNNNNNNNNNNNNNNNNNNNNNNNNNNNNNNNNNNNNNNNNNNNNNNNNNNNNNNNNNNNNNNNNNNNNNNNNNNNNNNNNNNNNNNNNNNNNNNNNNNNNNNNNNNNNNNNNNNNNNNNNNNNNNNNNNNNNNNNNNNNNNNNNNNNNNNNNNNNNNNNNNACUACGAAACCCUUCCUNNNNNNNNNNNNNNNNNNNNNNNNNNNNNNNNNNNNNNNNNNNNNNNNNNNNNNNNNNNNNNNNNNNNNNNNNNNNNNNNNNNNNNNNNNNNNNNNNNNNNNNNNNNNNNNNNNNNNNNNNNNNNNNNNNNNNNUUGAUAUUUGGUGAAUUGUAUAUAUAAACUACUACGAAACCCUUCCUCUCUCUGAGUCUUCUACAUCAUGGAGAAGGGUGCACUUCAUGUGACUUCUCUUAUGCUUAGAGCCUUAACCCAUUUAGAACGAGGUUCAGACAAGUUGCUAAGCCGGUGAAUCUUCUGUAUUCCCAGUACAUUGCCCCCCUCAGAUCGAGUUGUCCGCUCGGGUAAGCCAGGUCUAGAACUAUAAACCCAGGGUUUAAACCUAAUAUAACAAAGCCUCAUGUCGGAUCCCUAGUACGAACGUUUGUUUUCAUCACGUGCAUUUGACUUAGGGGACUCAACACAGGGGUUGGGUCCGUCUAGGACAGGUGAACCCAAAAUGAAAGACCAUCCUGAUGCAUCCUACUUGCUACUUCUGCAUUUAUUUGCUUCAAAUUUGCAUGUUGGUCGGCUUGUAAAUAAUGGAAGAUAAUUGAAAAGAGAAUAAAAAUGUUAGGGUUAAGUGAGUCACCUAUUUUGACCAAAAAACCAAUACCAAAAGGUACCGAAACUCUGCCGAAAAUUUUUGAAAAAAAAAACGAAGGAAAAUGAAAAGAAGAAAAAGAAAGUUUUUGUUUUCAAAAAAUAGUUGGUUUUGUCAAAUCUGCCCGAACUACGCCAGUUUGAUUCUCACCGGAUGUGUGAUACAUACGCAACCCCCAUAGGGUCCAACUUCCCUUUUUUCAAAAAUAGCCAAAAAUCACAAAAUUUAAAUUUUAGUCACAAAUAAGUCAGGUGAUGUCAUUCUUGUUUAAAAUAAGUCGAAUGUCCCCAAAAGGGUGAAUUAAAAUAUUAAACAAGUGUAAUAUAAAACAAUGGGAACACAUGAAAAAUGCAACAAAAGGAAUGGCACAAGGAUCAAGAAUAGUAUUGCAUCAAUGACCAGCAAAAAGGGAAGUUUUUCCUUACAUUCUUUUCCUGCAAAUUUCAUAAAUAAACGUGAUGGCAUGGGACUCCGAUCCCUAACUCCUUCCCAGACUUAGGGCCAUAUCCCUAGCUUUCCCUUGUGCAACUUGUGGACUUCCUCGGCAUAACCCAAGGGGUCGCACUCCAUUCUCUCUAGCACAGGCCGAUAAAUUACUUUCUUUCCCUUCCCCGCAUAACCCGAAAGUUUCUCUUUAUAUCCCCAGCAUAACCUGAGGAGUUCCUUUUCCACCUUAUUCCCAAGCAUAGUCAGAGAGUAAAAGCUAUUCUGCCCAUAGCAUAACCUAGGGAUUUCGCUUUCCCUUCUCUAUCCCCAACAUAGUUAAAAGGAUCUCUGUGGCCCUCAAUUUCUUCCAAAUCCCCUGGCAUAACCCAGGGAUUUUCCAGUCAAUCCCGGCAUAACCCGUGGAUCUACCUAUCAUAACCAGAGAGUUUUUCUUUUAAUCCCGGCAUAACCCACGAAUUUCCCUAGCAUAACCUAGGAGUUUUUUCUUUUAAUCCCGGCAUAACUCGCGGAUCUCCCUAGCAUAACUUAGGAGCUUUUCUUUCAAAUCCCCUAGCAUAACCCAGGGAUUUUCCAUUCAAUCCCGGCAUAACCCGUGGAUCAACCUAGCAUAACCUAGGAGCUUUUCUUUCAAUCACGGCAUAACCCGCGGAUUCCCGUGGCAUAAUGUAGGAAUUUACCAUUCAAUCCCAGCAUAACCCGUGGAUCUCCCUAGCAUAACCUAGGAAUUUUUCUUGCAAUCCCGGCAUAACCCGCGGAUUCCCCUGGCAUAACCAGGAAUUUUUAUUCAAUCCCGGCAUAACCCGUUCAUAUCCCUGGAAUAACCCAGGAGCUUUUCUUUCAAUCCCGGUAUAACCCGCGGAUUACCCUGGAAUAACCCAGGAAUUUUCCAUUCAAUCCCGGCAUAACCAGCGGAUCUCCCUAGCAUAACCCAGGAAUUUUUCUUUCAAUCCCGCCAUAACCCGUAGAUUCCCCUGGCAUAACCCGGGAAUUUUUAUUCAAUCCCGGCAUAACCCGUGGAUCUCCCUGGCAUGACCCAGGAGCUUUUCUUUCAAUCCGGGCAUAACCCACAGAUUCCCUUGGCAUAACCCAGGAAUUUUUCAUUUAAUCCCGGCAUAACCCGUGGAUCUCCCUAGCAUAACCUUGGAAUUUUUCUUGCAAUCCCGGCAUAACCCGCGGAUUCCCCUGGCAUAACCCAGGAAUUUUUAUUCAAUCCCAACAUAACCCGUGGAUCUCCCUAGCAUAACCUAGGAGCUUUUCUUUCAAUCACUGCAUAACCCGCAGAUUCCCCUGGCAUAACCCAAAAAUAUUCCAUUCAAUCCCAGCAUAACCCGUGGAUCUCCCUAGCAUAACCUAGGAAUUUUUCUUGCAAUCCCGGCAUAACCCGCGAAUUCCCCUAGCAUAACCCAGGAAUUUUUAUUCAAUCCCGGCAUAACCCGUGGAUAUCCCUGGCAUAACCCAGGUGCUUUUCUUUCAAUCCCGGUAUUACCCGUGGAUUCCCCUGGCAUAAUCUAGGAAUUUUUCAUUCAAUACCGGCAUAACCCGCGGAUCUCCCUAGCAUAACCUAGGAAUUUUUCUUUCAAUCCCGGCAUAAACUGUGGAUUCCCCUGUCAUAAACCAGGAAUUUUUAUUCAAUCCCGGCAUAACCCGUGGAUCUCCCUGGCAUAACCCAGGAGCUUUUCUUUUAUUCCCGGCAUCACCCACGGAUUCCUUUGGCAUAACCCAGGAAUUUUCCAUCUAAUCCCGGCAUAACCCGUGGAUCUCCCUAGCAUAACCUUGGAAUUUUUCUUGCAAUCCCAGCAUAGCCCGCGGAUUCCCCUGGCAUAACCCAGGAAUUUUUAUUCAAUCCCAGCAUAACCCGUGGAUCUCCCUAGCAUAACCUAGGAGCUUUUCUUUCAAUCCCGGCAUAACCCCCGGAUUCCCCUGGCAUAACUCAGGAAUUUUCCAUUCAUCCCGGCAUAACUUGCGGAUCUCCCUAGCAUAACCUAGAAGCUUUUCCUUCAAUCCUGGCAUAACUCGCGGAUUCCCCUGGCAUUACCCAAGAUUUUUGCAUUCAAUCCCGGCAUAACCCGCGGAUCUACCUAGUAUAACCCAAGAAAUUUUUUUUUCAGUUCAUCUCGGCAUAACCCGUGGCUUUUCCUUUCAUCCCCAGCAGGGACCCUUCAUUCCUAUCCCGACAUAACCCGUGGAUCCUUACCUUACCCCCAGCAAGGACCCUUCAUUCUUGUCCCGGCACAACCCGUGGAUCCUCCUCUUAUCCCUCAAAGGGACCCUUUCUCCUUCCCAACAUAACCUGGCAAUCAGUCUAAAGGAUACGAAAUCCUGACUUUUAUUAUUUUCAAUAAAGAAAUAGCUUUGGUUUGUGUUGCAGAUAACUCACGAAAUUUUUUUAGUGAAAGCUGGGGUAGAAAGUUUUCUUUGUUUGCUUGUUUUGGUGUCCGAGCAGGUUUAAGGCACAUAAUUGACAUGACCGGAAGUGGAAGUCUCAAUUCAGAAUAAGGAAAACAAGAGCAGAACAGAAAAGAAGUGAAUUCAAAAAGAUGAAGAGGGCCGAGAUACGGACUGCUCAAAAUUUGAUUGAAAUCACAAGACCCACCUGUCCCGCUUUUUUCAAAAUUGAAGAAAAACCAACGGCUGCAGCUAACGAGCAUCAGGAUUCAGAUCGAAGUCCGCUACAAGAGCUAGCCAAGACUCAAGAUCAAGUUUCAAGAGACUUAUAACUCAUAAUUAAUAGGCUAGCUAGCUUAGCUGUUGAUUUUCUUUUGUGUAAUAAAAUAAAGAGUCGGUAAGCAGUAGCAGCAGCAACAACAGUGAAAUCACAGCCCGUGGUAGUCCCAGCUACCAAACACUCCAAAACUACACAGACCUAAUUCCUUUAUUGCCAAGGAUAUGUAGGCAACCUUUGAAGCAAGGUUCAUCAGAUAUCUUUUUAAAAUGCUUCUCCUGGAGUUUUUGGAGUAGGCAAAAAUACCACAUAUUGCUCAUUUAUCUUUGACUGAAAACCCUUCGUGUUUCCAGGCAAAGAGGGGCAGUUGUGAGCACGUGAUUUUUGCCUCGGUAAAAUUACUCCUACAGAAUUCUCAAACUUAGGAUUUUUCCUUUUUAUUAUUUAUUUGUAGGAUUUAAUUGUGAAUAUUAGUGUGUGUUUUCAUUGGUGUAUGCAUGACAAGUCAUAAAAAAUACAAAGAAAAAUUCAUAAGCAUUUAAGAUUUAAUUUCACAUGUUUUGUUAAAAUUAAUUAGUAAUUAAGGUUUUAUUUUGCGAAAUAUAAAAAUCACAAAAAAUAUAAAUAAUUAGUUCAUUUUGGCAUUUAUUUAAUUUGUAGCUUCCAAAUUGCUAAUUUUCUUAUUGUUUAGUUUAGUUGAAUUUAGUCUAAUUAGAAUUUUAAAAUAAAAUUAGGAAGUUUUUUUUAAAAAAAAAAAAGAAAAUGAAAAAAAAAAAAGAAAUAGGUUUCAAAUAAUUUAAACAAGGUUGGCCAUAAUUGGGCCAAGUCUGGGUGGCCCAAACCCCUUUACCUGCUCAAAAUGCCCAACAACCAGCCCAAAACCCGUCUCUGACCAAAGCUGGAAUGAGAGACGCCCCAAAACGACGUCGUUUUGGGGCAAUCAAUCUCAGCUAUCCAUUAAUAAUGAUCCAACAAUCCUGAAACUCCCCUCCCAAAACCAAUAUAUAUGUCCAAACGUGUGUGUUAUGCUGAGAGACAAAAGUCUUCAUCCUCGUACAAACCAUCGCCGAUAUAACACCGCCUAUCCACCACCACAAACCACCGUAUAACCGCCGGCUGGAAAUCAUCUCCGCCGGCGCCAAAGCUCAGAUCUCGACCAAAAAUACACCCCUGACUCCCCGUACCCUCCCCUUUACAAUGCCUUAAAAAUCAAACCUCGAAAUAUAACCCCAUCGUCUCGAAUAUUAGAUUCGUUGGACACCGCCUCCGUCGUCUAUGGCGGCACCGUCGCCGGAAACCUCCCAAAAUAACACCACAUACUCCUCACCCCAUCCCCAUAAUGAAUCCAUGGUUGUAUUCCUCCAAACCCCUACCCAUCGCUUAGAAUAUCGGAUCGAAUCACUUACCAAAGACCUAACCUCUCCGGAACCCUCCAAAAUAGUACCAGGUGACCUCCUCACCUUCCCCUCCAUAAUUUCAUGACCAACGACCUUCGAAUACAACCAAACUUGGCCAAAAUCGAAUCAAAAUAGCCUCAAACCCAUAUCCCAUCCCAAGCCAACUAACCUUAACCCGAUACUCUCUCCCCCUCAACAAUAAUGAUACAAGGGUCUCAUAAGGCCAGCAGACCCUCUCAGAGAGGGUCGAAAAACUUUGAGACGUGAAGAGCCCCAAAUUUUUAGGGUUGCAAUUUUUAAGAAAGCUAAGUUUCCUUUGUUCUUCUUUUCUGAUUGUUGUUAGGUUUCUUUGUUCUUCUUUCUGAUUGCUGUUAAUUCUCUACUUUCUGAGUGUAUUUAAUUUCUUUGUUCGUCUUUAUAGUUGUUUUAAUUUCCUUUGUUCUUCCUUAUAAUUGCUUUUAGGUCUCUUCUGAGUGUUUUUAAUUUCCUUUGUUCGUCCUUAUAAUUAUUUUAAUUUCCUUUGUUCUUCCUUAUAAUUGCUUUUAAGUUCUCUUUUGACUACUUUUUCUUCUGACUACUUCUAAUUCACUUCGUUCUUCCUUAUAAUCUUUUAAUUUGCUUUCUUCUUCCUUAUAAUUGCUUUUAAGUUCUCUUCUAAUUUCUUUUAAUUCCCUUUGUUCUUCCUUCCGAUUGCUUUAGAGUUUCUUUGUUUUCGUUUGAGUAAAUGCAUGAAUGUCCAUUUGUUCAUCUGUUAAAUUUUUCUUAUCAGUGACUUUAUUUCCACCACAUGCUUUUUGUUUUAAGUCUUGAUAACCUACUUCUAAAUGGCCCUCUCAUCAUUUGAAGUCAUAAUUGUUUCUUUCGACUCGUUUGAAUUAUCAUGCUAAGCUCAUAAUUGUUCAUCUCAGGUGUAAAAUUGAUCAGUGUCCAUUGUUUCUGAAUUUUGUGAUGUUUAGCUUUAUAUGUACUUCUGAGUAAUUUAGUUCCACAUCUUGAUAUUUUCCUGUAUAUAUGUGUUGCAUUGAUUUGUUACUUAUUAGAUUUUGACCCUUUGGUUUUCUUUACAUAAGUAUAGUAUAGUUUCCAAUUGAAUAGUUGGCCAUGUCCAGCUUUCUCAAAUUCGACCCGCAGCUGAUAGUGUAACCCUGAUUUAUGAUUUAAGUUGUUAACUAGGGUCAAUUUCUGACCAAAUGGAUAGACACCAGGAUAUAACACAUCUAGGUUAGUAAUUAAGAGGGAAAAUAGGGGUAUUGGCGGUAUUGGAACAUAAGAAUCUUGUAACAAACUCCUGGAACAUACUAUUAAAGGUUCAAAAUGCAUUUUCUGUUAAUUCUCUCUCAAACUUGAGGAACAUGUUAAAAAAUGAGGGAGCAAUUAAGCAAAUUUGAAAAAUGGAUAAGGGACUAAAAAGAAAACAAGAAAGAUUUUGGUUCCCUAAGGCUUUGGCUAUAAAAGAGACAUAUGAUUGCUUAAGAAAGGGAUACAUUUUUGAGUGAUAUAUAGAUUUUAGAAAAAAGGUCGAGAAUAUCCACCUGGUAACCAAUUCCUUGAAAAUAUUAAGGUUUCCUGGCAAAUCUUCUAUAAUAAUCAAAAUUCUGUUCAUUAUAAGUUGAAGAUGAAUUGAGGCAUAUGCAUUUGAGGUGUUAGAAUUUUCAGAAGCAAGUUUGGGCAUUGCUCUUAGGCGGGUUUACUUUGUUUGAGUUUGAGACGGGAACCUGUGUUGUUAUUUGUUUUUCAAAACUUCUUGCAUUCUUGAUACUAUUCCUGGACUUGACUGGCGGAUUUGGCUGAUGUUUGUUGCUUUCUUCUGGUUUACCUUACUCAUAGGAUUCCUUUGUUGUAAUUCCAGGUACCUACUCUCACUCAGGAAAAUCUGGAAAUACACAACUAUAUACGCAUAAUCCUGCUUGAUAAUGAAGAUAUUCAUUUUUCUUAUGUUAAUGUUGUAGUACAAAUAUUCUUAGUUUAGUAGUAUUUAGGAUAUUUUUCUUAUCCUGGUGCUGUAAUAAAUAAACCUUUGGACUGUGAUGGAUUUUUUCGAAGUAUUUGGACUGUUUAAUUUUGAAUUAUUGUAAAUUUUAAUAGGGUAAAAUAUGUUAGUCAUUAAUCUGUUCAAUCCUCAUAUCCAGUUCAAUAGUAGAAAGUCACCAUGUGUAUACAUAUUUCGAUUACCAGGUCUAUCACUUUAUAUAUGUUGAUUUAAAAAUUGGAGCUUUAGUAUAUUGAUUCGUAAGUAGGAAGAAUACACUUCCUGGGUUGUAGUUUUUUCUUUCAAAUUUCUGGGCUCGAAUGAAAGCCUGAACUACUGUAGUAGUGAGGCACAAAUUGCCAUUUCCAAUAAUGAAGCACAAAUUGCAAAAAUCAGCCAUGAAUGAUGCUGAAGAUAUACAUACUGAACAUUUCUUUGAAUAUACCAUUAACAUAUGAAAUAGUAAGGACUUAUCUUCUAUCUUAGAGACGCGUAUAAUAGGAAAUUAUAGUCUCUUUAGGUUGUCUUUUCUUUUAAAAAUAAAUUAAGUGGGCCGCACUAACAAAAUCAUACACUACGUUGGCUCCUUAACUGUAAUAAAAUGCUUAGAUGUUUUGGAGAUAGCGUUUAGUGAAUUUCACGGUUUUCCAUGAAGUUAAAAAUGCGUAGUUGCUAUAGGCACGUUAUUUUAAUAGUGUCUCUUCCUAAAUUCGGGUGCGCAUUUAUGUGACCCAAAUCCAAGUCUCAACGAUGUUAAAAUAUUUCGAGAACCCGGGUGCAUUUAUGUGACGUGGUUCGAGACGUGUUUUAAUAAAGUUGCAAAUAUUCCUAAAAGUGAAUAAAGCGGUUAAUAAUUUUUAAAAUUGUAUUGUCGGAGGAAUAUGUAUAAAAUUAGGAAAUUAGCCACUUAUAAUAGUUUAAGAGACCAUGCUAGAACCACGAGAUUUGAGGGAGCCAAACACCUUCCCUCGGGUCAACAGAAUUCCUUACUCAAUAAUUUCUUGUUUGCAGACUCCAAUUGGGCAGUCGAAAAAAUUUCCUCGAUUUAGAAUUCUAAAUGAACCAGCGACUUAGGACACCAAAAGCCAAACCUAUCCUAAGUGGAGACUCUUAAUAAAUAAACAAUCCCAGUUCGAAUAAUAUCACUUUAAUUGGAAAACCUCCAUUAUACGUGUCAUCUUUUGGGGUAGCCGUGAGAAAAAGAGGUGUAACAACGGGUGCUUGAACUCGAGUGUUAUGCCUUGUGUUCGUGUCCUUUGAAAGAAACGAAGUAUAAGGUAUUAAUAGUUUUUGAAAAUGAGUAAGAAGAAGCUACAAACAUGGAAACAGUCACGAUUCAGAAUCAAAUAUACAAGUUAUUUCCUUUAAAUAAGGGAUCACUUUCUUAACAGGCAUUGACAGGUUUAAAACAAGGAAAGAAAUCAUUUUUUCAGUAGAGUGACAGUUGCCAUAAAAGUAGUAGUAAAACAUUAAACUAGCAAUCGACUCUAGGUACACAGAUACUCUAAUUUUGGAAAGGAUUUAGUAAGGCAAAAAAGGAAAAAAAAUCAAUUAACUUUACGGGAAAGUGAAAUCAGAAAUUUACAAAGUAAAAGUUUGAAUUUAGUCACAAGUUUGAAAAUCAGUCAAAGAAAGAGACUCAGCGUGUAAAUAGAGUGCAUAACCAUUAUACAUACGAGGCCAAGCCUAUUGGAAGAAGGAAAUAGCAUACAAUAGGAGUACAAAAAGAAAAUUCAAUAGAUAGCAAAACUCAUAGCAUGAUAUUCAGUUGAAUCGGUAGUGAAGAAACAUAGAAUAUCAAAAGCAUGCGAAGAUCUCACAGUAGCAGGUGAAGAAAUCCCCUUUUAAGAAUUAGGAUUUCAAACAUAAUUAAGUUUAUAGAUGAUAGAAACCCAAAAUCAGAAGAAUCACACAAAAUAACAAGAGAUUUCGAAAUAAAGAACUCCAAAUCGAAUCAUGAACUUAAAUUAACAGUCUCAAACUCAAAGCCAUAGAGUUUUUAGCAAUAGAAUAAUUUUAAAGAUGGAUAAACAAAUAAAUCGGAUAAAACUCAAGCAAACAAGAAUUCAUGUAAUAAAUAGUCAACAGAAAUUAGGGCUUUAAAAUGCAAACUCAGGCAAAAGAAUAACGCAAGCAAACAUAGCAACAUAUGUCAAAAUUAAAGAGAAGUUUUGAAAUAACUUAAAAAGAAAACCCUAAUCGGAAAAGAGAAAGAGUUUUUAAAGCGGAGUUUUUAAAGAGAAUUUGAGAAAAAUGCUUAGAAGUUCAGAGCAAACAUAGAUAUGAAAUAGAUCUAAAAGAAAUCGGAAGAAACUUAGAGAUUAGGUUAUCAGAAGAACCCCAAAUGAUGAUAAAGGCUUUGAAAACCAUCGAUCGAAGAAUGAGAGUCAAAAGUCUAACUCAAAUAGCAAUGGUUGGCCGGAGAAAGGUUAGAGACAACCGAAUAAUAGCCAUCGAGCAAAGACUAGACAAAACUCUUCAUGAUCUGGUCAUGAGACCACAUAAUCGAACACGUAGAAGCCAUGAGAGAUGGAUACAGGUCUCCGAUGACAUUGGAAGCCAUAGAUUUGGGAGAUAUUAGGGUUGUAGUUUGAUGGUGAUGGCUAGGGUUUGAGAGGAUUUGAGAGAGGAUUGAGAAAGAAGAGAGAUUCAGAGGCGGUGGAGUUUGGAAAUGAGGCUAGGGUUAGGGAUCAUUGGAAUUAAAAAAGGAAAGGAACCGUGAGGGCCGUUGAACUUUUAGAUCAACGGCCAGUAUUUAGAGGAUCUUUGAUCGGGUAGGAGGAUUUGGCUAGGGUCGCUAUAGAUGGAUAUUUUGCUGGGUAAUUAGGCUUAAAUUGAGGGUCCAAUUCAGACUUUAAUUGAAAUGCAAUUGGAGCUAGAUUUUAAAAGCCACUCUUUUUUAUUUUAUAAAAAAUAGCAAACUAAUUUCUAAAAAUUUAAAAGAAUUAAAAUUAUUUAUAAUUUAUAAUUAUUAAUUUAAAAAUACUGAUUUUAACUUUAUAAAUAUUAACGCAAUUAGACUUAAAAGAAGCUAAUAUUUCAGUUAUAUGCAAUUUCGGUUAAAAAAUACUAUAUAAAAUUUGUAAAAAUAUGCAAAAAAAUUAUCUUAGCAAUAUUUUAGUAUAAAUAUGAGAAUCCAAUAAAUGAAUCAUCAAAAAUAAUAAUUUUGGAAAUUAUUAUUAGGUUUUCAAGGAUAAAAUAGGGCAAUAAAUUAAUUUAAAAAUAAUAAAACAUUUGGACAUAGUUAUCUAUGCAUGCAUAUGCUACUUUGAAAGUAUUUUGCAUAUUAAAAGCAUAUAGGGAAAAACUGAGUUUAAACAGCUACCUUUCGUUACCCGGGAAGGAUGAAAGUGUUGUCGGGUAAAGAUAUGAUGGCUAAUGUUGACCGAUCAAAAUGGUUCAAAGAAGUUUAGGCCGUGCUCUGGCUUCCGAGAUGCCUACAUAUCCCUGGUUUUAUAGAAAUCAGCCUAGAUGUAGUUCAGAAUCCAUCAGCGGGGUUUGUUGAUGGAGACUUCCUAAGAAUGGGUGCAAUAUUUAGAUCGGAAUGAAUGGUUAAGGUCUAAUAAGGCUGCGGGAACUAGAGCGGGAUCACUCUUGCAGAGAUGAUCAUUACUCAUUGGUUUACCUGCAAAUAACAAUACAAGCAUAUAUUGGUUGUGACCAUUGCUCGCUGGUUUACCCGUCGAACCAUGAAUGUUUUCUUUGGACGGUUAGGAUGAUGUCCUUAGACCAUGAUGUCAUGGGCCAUGAAGCAUAUAAUAAAGGAUUCACAAGCCAUGAAAUGAUGCUCUCGGGAAAUGAGGAUGAUGCCUCCGAAUAAUGAUGUCUUUGAAUAAUGAUAUGCACAAGAUAAAAAGGGAUCAUCAAGCCAUGACAUGGUGUUCUCGGGCUAUGAAGAUGAUGUCUCUGAAUGAUGACGCCUUUGGAUAAAUUGGUGAUCUUUCACCCCAUGAGAUGCAGUAUUUUGUGAUCUUUCAGCCCAUUCAAUGCAGUAGGUGGCGAUAUUUAAACCUUGCAAAUUUAGAUAUAGUGUUGAUCUUUCAGCCAUGCAAAUGUAGAUAGGGUGGUGAUCUUUCAGCCAUGAAAAUGUAGAGGUGGCAAUCUUUAAGCCAUGAAAAUGUAGAUAGGGUGGCGAUCUUUCAGCCAUGCAAAUGUAGUGGUGGAAAUCUUUAAGCCAAGAAAAUGUAGAUAGGGUGGCGAUCUUUCAGCCAUGCAAAUGUAGAUAGGGUCGUGAUCUUUCAGCCAUCCAAAUGUAAAGGUGGAGAUCUUUCAGCCAUCCAAAUGUAGAGGUGGCAAUCUUUCAGCCAUCCAAAUGUAAAGGUGGAGAUCUUUCAGCCAUCCAAAUGUAGAGGUGGCAAUCUUUCAGCCAUGCUAAUGUAAAGGAGGCGAUCUUUUAGCCAUGCAAAUGUGGAUAAGGUGGCAAUCUUUCAGCCAUGCAAAUGUAAAUAAGGUGGCGAUCUUUCAGCCAUGCAAUGUAGAUAGGGUGGCGAUCUUUCAGCCAUGCAAAUGUAGAGGUGGCGAUCUUUCAGCCAUGCAAAUAUGGAUAAGGUGGCGAUCUUUCAGCCAUGAAAUAUAGAUAGGGUGGCGAUCUUUCAGUCACACAAAUGUAGAGAGGCGAUCUUUCACCCAUGCAUAUAUGGAUAAGGUGGUGAUCUUUCAGCCAUGAAAUGUAGAUAAGGUGGCGAUGUUUCAUCCAAGAAAAUGUAGAGGUGGCGAUCUUUCAGCCAUGCAAAUAUAAAGGCGGUGAUCUUUCAGCCAUGCAAAUGUAAAUGCGGCGCUCUUUCAGCCAUGCAGAUGUAGAUGGAGAUAGCAUUUAGUCUCAGAAGGCAGAAUGAUAGCCUUAUGCAAUACAAGGAAAUGCAAAUAGAGAUAGUGCUUAGUCUCAAAGGCACAAUGGUAGCCUUAUGCCACGAAAUAAAAAGGGCAAAUGGUAAUAGAGCUUUCUUAGCUAAUAGCAGAUUGCGAUAUGGUGAAUACUGGCGACAUUGUGCCUUUUGUGACACUAUUGUGUGUGGAUAGAAAAUGUUAAUAAAUGCACGAUUCUGAGAGUUGUAUUCCUGAACAAUGUUCAUCUCGUGAGUGUAUGGUAUGUUUGGAUGGUUUUGCAAUCCAAGUGCCUGCAUCCAAAGAAAACUUGUGAGUUUUGUAAAGGGGAGAAAGUUCGUAUCCCCUCUGGCUCUGCUUGACCUGCUUGGCUUUGAUCUGGUGAUAUUGUAUGUAUCAUUUGGGUAGCUUUGCUAAACAAGGUAAUUUCAAUAAUAAACAUGCAUGAUUUAGUAAAAAUACGACAUAAGUACAUAGUUAAGCAUAGUUUUUAGAUGAACCGAUGAUUGCGAUGUGGUUUAGGCCAUUGCAACCUCUCUUGCAUCGGAGUUUUGAAGGUCCUCCUCAAAAAUCUACCCUAGUUUGAUGGGUUUAUGCUUCUGACUAUUGCUUCUGAUAAUUGGCUGAAAUUACUUCAAAAUUUUGAGAGUCCUCCUCAAAAUUCUGCCCCAGGUUUCCAAUUGCGAGGAAAAUUGAAAUUUUAUUAAAUGGUGACUGAACCCAUAGGUCUAUGCACAUCCCCUCUUAUAAAGGAAUCCGUUCAAGCGUAGUUCAAUUACAUCAUAGAGGAAAGCAUAAAGAUUACACAUAGUAACACUUGACUGCAUCUGAAUUAAUCGGUUUUGGCUAGACUUCUCCGUCCAUUUCUGCAAGUAUGAGGGCUCCUCCUGUCUAAACCCGGUGAACCAUGUAUAGACCCUACUAUUUGGGAGAGAAAUUCCCUUUGGCUUAAUCCUGAGGCGGAAAAAUUUUCUUUAAUACCAGUUGCCCCAGUGUGAACUGCCUUGACUUGACUCUCUUAUUGAAGGCCCUGGACAUUCUAUUCUGAUAAAGUUGACCAUGAUAAACAACAUUCAUUCUCUUCCCAUCUAUGAGGCUAGUUGCUUGUAACGACUCCUUGCCCAUUCUACAUCGUCGAGCUCAGCUUCCUAUAUGAUCCUUAAGGAAGAAAUUUCUACUUCAGUGGGAAUGACGGUUUAUGUACCAUAUACCAAAAUAUAGGGGUUGCCCCACUUGAUGUGCGAACUGUGGUGCGAUAUCCUAAUAGAGCAAAUGAUAACUUCCCAUGCCACUGUUUAUGCUUCUCUAUCAUUUUCCUUAAUAUCUUCUUGAUAUUUUUAUUGGCGGCUUGCACGGCUCCAUUCAUUUGAGGCAUGUAGGCUAUAGAAUUCUUUUGUCUAAUCUUGAAGGUUUUGCACAUAGCUUUCAUCAAGUCACUGUAGAGGUUGGAGCUAUAAACAAUAAUAAUUGACUUUAAAUCCCGAAUCAACAAACAACAGGAUCGCAAACAAAAUCUUCCACGACCUUCGUUGUCACUGUUCUGUAAGAUGCUGCUUCGACCCAUUUGGUGAAAUAGUCGAUUGCUACUAGAAUAAACUUGUGCCUAUUAGAAGCAGCACGCUCGAUUGGUCUAAUAAUAUCCAUUCUCCAAGCUGCAAACGGCCACGGUGAGCUUGUUACAUUAAGCUCAUUUGGAGGCACCUUUAUCAUGUCUGCAUGUAUCUGACAGCGAUGGCAGUUCCGAACAUACUAGAUGCAGUCUAUUCCACAGUCAACGAAAAGUAACCAGCCCGGAGUAUCUUCUUUGCUAAGACAAAACCGUUCAUAUGUGGACCACAAGUCCCGGCAUGAAUUUCCUCUAGCAGCUUGGAUGCCUCCUUUGCGUUGACACACCUCAAUAAUCCCAAAUCAAGAAUCCUCCUAUAAAGGAUUCUUCUGGUGUGGAAGAAAUUAUUGGAUAAUCUACGAAGUGUGCAUUUCUGAAUAUGGUUGGCAAGCUCCAAGUAUUCUCCUUUCUCCAAAUAUUCCUUGAUAUCAUGAAACCAAUGCUUUCUGUCUACUUCCUCUUCAACAUGGACACAGUAAGCCGGCUGAUUAUAAAUUUUCACCGAAACAGGAUCAAUGAAAUUCUUAUCCGGAUGUUGUAUCAUAGAUGAUAGGGUAGCUAAUGUAUCGGCGAACUCAUUCUGGUUUCUGGGAACAAGUUGGAACUCCGUCUUUGUGAACCUCUUUCUCAAUUUUUGUACUUGAUGCAGAUAAGGGAGUAUCUUGGAGUUCUUGGUUUGCCAUUCUUCUCGUACCUGAUGUAUAAGUAAUUCUGAUUCUUCAAUUAUUAGCAACUCUUGAAUGUUCAUAUUAAUGGCCAUCUUGAUCCCUAGGAUGCAGGCUUCAUACUCAGCCAUAUUGUUGGUGCAGGGGAAUCUAAGCUGGGCAGACACCGGAUAAUACUAGACCGGUUUCUGAAUCAAGACUUCUCCUAUGCCAACUCUUCUGAAAUUUUUUGCUCCAUCGAAAGACAUCCUCCAACCAUUAUAGGAUUCUACGAUGUAUUCUCCUAUGAAUGAUACCUCUUCAUCGGGAAAAUAUGUUUUCAAAGAUUCGUAUUCCCCAUCUACGGGAUUUUCAGCAAGGUGAUCAGCCAGUACCUAUCCCUUGAUUGCCUUCUGAGUUACGUAGACAAUGUCAAAUUCACUUAGCAGGAUUUACCACUUGGCUAGCUUUCCGGUGGGCAAAGGCUUCUGAAAGAUGUGGUAUAGCCACAGAAGUAAUGUCUUAGCUUCUGAGCUACCCAAGUCAAAGCACAAUAGGUGUGCUCUAACAGAGAAUAUUGGGAUUCGUAGGGAGUAAACUUCUUGCUGAGAUAGUAAAUGGCCUAUUCCUUUCUCCCUAUUUCAUCAUGUUGCCUCAAAACGCAACCAAAGGCACUAUUUAGUACCACAAUGUAGAGUAGUGGGGGUCUACCUAGCUCGGGCGAGACCAAGACUGGUGAUGUUGACAGGUAUUCCUUGAUUCUUUAAAAGGCCAUCUGAAAUCAUCGGUCCACUUGGUAGCAGCGUCCUUCUUCAACAUCUUGAAGAAGGGCUCACAAAUAACCGUGGACUAUGCCAUGAACCGGUUGAUAUGUUUAUAUCUUCCCAAGAAGCUCAUCACAUCCUUCAACGGGUAGACUCAGCAUAACCAGAUCUGUUCUACAAAAAUUGUAAGACCUUAAUAGGCAUGGAAAACUGUAAGACCUCAACAGGCGUGAAAAUUCCCAAGUUUAGGCUAUACACUGCAUUUGUAAAAAUCAAUCAAGGGCAUACCCUCGGUGUAGAUGCCUAAACUGUCACUAGGGAUCAAAAAAAUAGCUACGGCAAAACACAUGUGACUAACGUAAAAAUAGCUUAUAUAUCCAAAGUAGCACGACUCGAGGACGCCUGAUCGUCACUAAAUAAAAUCGCAUGCCACUACUUCGAAUAUACUUUAGAAAGAACCGGUUAAAAUAGGCUUCCCUUAAUAGGUUAAAACGAGCUCCGACCAUAUCGGCUCCAAAUCACAAGAUCAUCGAUCUACUCGACCUACGAGAUAUGAACCUUCCGAGGUGCUCAAAACAUUGCCGGCAACAACUUGAAAUCGAGGUUCUUCUAGAGCCGACGACAGGUUGGGAAAAAAUAUUCCAAAAAGACCUUAACUAGCGGAAAACAAUGCCUACAAAAAAGCCCUUUGGAAAAACAACGUAAGAGCCAUUGUCACCAGCUAAGCAAGCCUCUGGGUCAUAUAUUAAAAGGUAUCUAUGACCAAACAGCGUAAGAGCCAUUAUUGCCAGCAAAAAAAUUGAAAACGUGAGGAUUAAAAUAACCUCAAAUCGUAACCCGAUUCGAAGACCUGAUCCAAAAUAGUUAACUAUGCAAGCCUCCGGGCCAUACAUUGAAAGGUCUCAACGACCAAAACAGUGUAAGAGGCACUAUUGCCAGUCUGAAAACCAAAGAUACUUGGGGGUCAAUUAAAGCUUAAGUUGCAACACAACUCGAAGAACGGACCCAGAAUAGUUAAAUUGCAAUAUACCUAAGAGCACGGCAUAAAUGCCACUAUCCCCAGCCGAGAAAAUCUCUGGGCCACAUGCCUGCAAGGUCACUUCGACCCGAAGAACAAAAGGCCAUCAUCAUUAGCCCAAACAAACGCAAAACUCGAGGAAAUAUUAAGCUCAAUUCGGGUCCCAACUCGGAGACUGAACCCAGAAAUGGUUAAAGCAUCCAAUCCUAAGGGAAACUCGAGGAUUGAAUCGACCCGAUUGAAACUCCAACAAGCAAAAAUACAAGAGAUACAAGUUGUAUGGCUCCCCCUCUUAUUGCUACAUAUUGACGACGAAGCGCAAUAUCAGCCUAUGUGAUAUAUUAAAAGCUACAUAUAUACAACAAAGAAUGCAGGGAAUAUUCAUUCCCCAUCUCCCGGUAGUUAUGGUCCGGCAAUCUCCUCCUUAUCGUCCUCAGUAUUGGACAUCAGGAACUUGGCAUCAAACUCCUCUCCUUUGGCUUGUUUGAUUUCCCCCAAAAGAUUAACGCCUCUGGCAUGAAUCUCCUCGAGGAUUUCCCUCCGGGCCUGCCCGAUCAGUUUCAAACCUGUGAGGAUCCCGUCAAAAUACAAAAAUCAGCCCGUCUAGCAAAAGGCAAUGCAAGAAAAGAGGUAAAACUUCAAGGUUUCUCUUGUUUUAUAUAUGCACGAGAAGAAGCUCUCUCAAUCUACAGGCAUGCUCUAUAAAACAGCAAAUGCAAGGUGGCAAAGUCUGGGCUCAACCUCGAAAUAUUACGAUCUAUCAACCCCAGACUCACUCUCCAUAGCAUCAGCGAUAAGAAACCAGGCGUCACGUUCAAACACCUUAACUCAGGCGAAUUCUUAUAAGAGGGAGAGCCCUGGAAUGGGUCCCCUCUAGCGCCUUUCCUAAAGAUCUACGUCGAACGCGUCCCUCAAAGGCUAGCUCUAAUCCAGCUUGUCAAAAGACGUCCUUUAAACAAGUUGCCAUUCCCUCAUCGCCCUCGAUCCGGCUCAGUACUAUAUUCGCCCAGGCGCUGGUUAUUCUCAACCUAAGCCUUUGGAGGCAUUGAACUACAGCUUCGCCAUCAUGUCUUCUCGGACCAAAGAUUGAAGCUCCAAUCUACAUUUGAAACUCCAGCCCACCAUAGGCACUUCUGGAUCGAUCGGCCCCACCUCCAAGGUUGAAGAAGCGAAAUGUUUUCCAUGAGAAGGCUCCUAACUCAUAGAAAGGCCUCCAUAAUUCAAGCUCUGAUGUGCCCCGCACCGCCAGAACACCAACUCAAUUACUCUUUCCAUUCGCCAGAAUCCUAAAGGUCCUACCCUUAUCCAUGGCCCCCUUAAAGUAUAGCCUGUUGGCAGAACAACUCAAAACUUAAGUCUGUUGGACUCCUAUGGGGGUAAGACCUAUUGAAAAAAGGAAAAUCGAGAUAUAGAAGAAUCAUGCUAAAACUCACCACGAAGUAAAAUUGGCAAGUCCACUCGGCGGCCAAACACAUUCCUAUUGGCCCAAUCCUACUUGGCCCAAAAGAACCGCCAUCCUGGAAUCAAGGGCUCCAGGAGAAUUCGGCUCGGUCAAUGCAUUCUCUUAGAAUCACAUACGCGCCUCGCCUCGAUAAAAGCCUCGUCAUAUUAUGAAGCACUCAUAUCACUAUCAUCGUUGCCUACCUAGAAAUCUAUGACUCCCCCGAAGGGGGCACAACCUCACCUCAGAGGGACCGUCUGACACCGAUAAUGCCCGUAAAAAUACAUCAGAGGAAGGGAGGCACAACUACAAAAUCUGCCAACACCAUAGGCAGAGCUGACGAAGCAUGAGAUGCACCACCUGAAAGGCAUCUUUUCAUCUCUUUAAACAAAUAUCGCGGGUUUCAAAGGUGUGGUGUCAGUAGUUAACACUCAGGAGAAACGAUUCACCCGAGCCCGAUCUCUGACUUCCCAAAAUAAACAGUUGUUAAGGGCACACUCCACCACCACCAUAGAGACGGUAAGCCGUAACGAUCCCUGGAGUAGAUGAAAGCAGCCUCACAUUCCAUAUGGGAAGAGUAGUAACAAUUCAAAGCUAACCAAGGACACCAACCUGCAACACCAUCUCUAGCGUCAAGGUAAUGAUAAACCCUGGAGGCCUCCAUUGUAGCAAGAUAAAGCCCCAAAAGACCAUCAAUGCCUUCGCCAGCAUGAGAUUCAUUCACGGCCUUAAAAACCUCCAUCGAAGGAAGCUAGCCAUUAGAGACAGUCAUUUUUAACAUGCAUACAAAACAAGCCCCGGUUGCUGGUCGGGAUGGUCCAAACACAGGCAGGCCUCCGCCUGAAGAUCGCCUUCAAGAAGUCACCAGCAUUCCUAACCCGCAAGCCCUCGGGUAAGCCUCCGCUCAAAGGUUAUGACAAGGUCCGAAGAGAUUAUCCGCUUAUUCACGGUGAGGUUUCGGCAGCCUUGUUACACCCUAUAUUUUUAUACGUAAAACUGUGUCUUAAGCAAACUAAUGUAGGACUAAAAAUGAGAGAAUUUUUGAAAAUAUAUAAAGUAAUUUAAUUAUGUUACUUAGAAGGUUUAAAAUAUGUAAGAUCAUGAUCAACAAGUACAAAGAUGGUUGGAAGGUCAGAAGCUAAAGGAAUGGAUGAAGACAAUAUUUCGUCGAACGUUGACAAGAUGUGAAUGUUAUAACAUGUACUUUUGGGGUGAGACUAGGGUUCUUAAUAUGAUAAGGAGGUUAUGUGAUUUACUAGUUAGUCGUAUGAUAGUGGUGCAUUAUAUUUUGAAGUCGAGCGAGUGUUGGAACAAAAGUCGAUGAAAGUCAUCACAAGUUAUAUUCAUAAAUUUUAUUAAAACUUUAGGUCAAAUGUGACUGUGAUUUUCUCCCAAUAUACUUAGAAUUAUGAGGUGAUCAACAAAUCAAAUUGGAGUUCUAUGAGUCUAUAUUCUAACACAUUAAACCGCUUAUCAAUACGACAUAAAAGUAAAGAGAUAUAUGUAUUUUUGCAAGAAAGUGCAGGCUGUUAGGUGACAAGUAGGUGUGUCACCUACUACGUUAAAUGAGAGCCCAAAAGAGGAAAUUUCAGGUCAGCCAAAGAGCCUAUUUAAGGGCUUAUCUCUUGAAAUAUAAACCUCAGUACAUAUCACAAAUAAACAGACCUAAACCUCUGCAAACGUCCUCCCAAAAAUCACCCACAAACUCUAAUUGAAUUUCUCUCCCUUUCAAGUUCUAAAUGAGGGUAAAACCUAGAGUUUGAAGAAGCAAGAUAAGGGUUGACUUAUCCAACAAAUAAGGUACAUCUACUGUUAAAUUUCAUCCAUUUAGUCUGUUGUAAAUUAAUGGUAAGUCGUUCUAUACAUGUAAGAACUCAUGGGACGGUGAUCGGAAGCCAUGAGUUCGAGUUAUUCACUUGUAACGUACUAUUUUGUGUUGCUGUUGGGCUGCAUUUUUUUACUACUAUUUUAUGGAGUUUUGGAGGAGGAAGGGUGUAUUGAAACACCUCAUAGAUGUAGGGUUGUGUUCUGGUCGUUUUGCGUAAAUUUUCUGGGUCGUUUUACACUACUACGGUAGUCUUUUUGUGUAUGAAGAGAUUGUGUGUGUUGGGCUGUUUGGUUGUAUUCUAUGGUGUAUAUAAGGCUGGAAAUUAAUUUUUAUAUGUUGUUGUUAUUUUGUUCUUGUGUUGUUGGUGUUAUCUUGAAUUUGGAGGAAGUAAGGAUUCUAGGGAAAUGCUACCCACUUUUAUACAAAAUAAAUCUUGUUGUUCAUUGUGCGAUAGCUGUACCUUUUGCAACUAAACGAUAUUAUUAUUAAAGUUGUUGUAGAUCAAGGUGCAAAGAGGUGAUUUCAACUUGGUGAUUGGAAAUAUUUUGAUAAGGUAUGCUAAGGCUAAGCCCUUCCUUCAUUUUGGCAUGAUCUCGUAACUACAUAUGUUGAUGACGAGGCAUAGCGAGAAGUUCAUACUCCAAAAUCUAUAUACAUUAUCCUAGUCUCAUAAGUUACACUAUUAUUCCGUAUCGGGGCUCUAUAUUCAAUUGAGUAUUAGUCUUCUUCUAGUCAAGAGAAUAGUGGGUCUCUAUAUAUAUACACACAAUAUUAUAGUAUUUUACCACCAUCAAGCUAUAAUCGAUGGGCAGGACCCUAUUGGGCAACCUCUGAUCAGAUGGUAAGUUAUAUACCGAGCCUACUAUGGCCGAGCGCCUAUGAGUGAGCUAAGAAUGGAAGAGAUACAGAGCCUAGUAUGUUCGAGCUCCUAUGAGUGAACCUACUAUGGCAGAGUAGUUACACGUUCCGAGCCUUAUAGGGCCAGACAUUUAUUUUACUUACUAUAUUGAGAGUGUUGAGUCAGUAUCAGCGGGUAAGUAUAUCUCCAUAUCAUCUUUGACUCCCAGUUACUUUCAGUUAUUAUGUUAUCAGCUCAGUUUCAGCUUUCGAUUAUUUUAUUAACUUACAUACUCGAUACACUAUUUCGUACUGACAUCCCUUUUUGGGGACACUGCAUUUCAUGCAAAUAGCUUUAGAUAGACAGACAGGUAGACCUCUCAGUAGGUGUAGCCCCAAUUUAGCUUGAGCAGUAAGCUCCACGUCCUUCAGAGUUGCCUGGUCUAGAGUUUUGUGUACAUCUUAUGUAUAUAUGUAUAUAUAUGUUAUGGGUAGGGUGGGGCCUACAGUACAUCCAUCAGUAGAGGCUUGUAGACAUAUCAUGUCAGUUAGUCCAGUAUGUUAGGCUUGUAGGCCUUAUAUGUAUAUUUUGUUGGUUUGUCAGAUGUAGUAGUUAUGACGGCCUUAUUAGCCCAGCUUUAUAUUGAUGUCUAGUCAACAUUAGUUCCAGUCAGUUUUAUAUUUUGCUUCGCAAUUUGUCUUGCAAUAUGGCCCCAUGGCCAAUGUAUGACAUUAUAUGUUAAGAGUCCUUUAGUCAUAAGUUGGUACGCAAGGUUAGGUGAGCCACAAGUGCCGGUCCGCCCCUAGGUUCGGGGCGUGACAAACUUGGUAACAGAGCAGUUCUGUCCUAGGGAGUCUACAAGUUGGGUCUAGAAAAGCCUUGUUUAUAGAUGUGUUGUGCACUAUAUUAUAUAAGAAGGGGACUAUAAGGCAUUUAGGAGUUGGUUACCUUUGUUUAAAAUCUAGAUCUUGCUAUAGAACUGAGUUAUAGGAAAUUUGAGUGAAACUUAUGUAUUGGUAUUUGCAUGCGCAUAUGACGGUGAUUAGGAAAACUACGGCUAACCAAAGAAGAGAUAUAGUGCCAGGUGAGGGGACCAGCAGGGUACCCCCAGUAGAUGGGGCCCAGUCUGAGGCCCAAUAUGAGACCCUUACUCAGCCAUUACCGGCUCCUCCACCACCUAAGGAGAUUCCUAGGGAAAUCGCACAUCCAGUUCCCCUUCCACUUUCAUCACAUCAUGACUUGAGGAAUCUAGUGCAUUUGUUGACAGAGUUGGUAGCUACCCAAUAGCAAGCUAAGGCAUCAGCUAGUGUAGGAUCUUCUGAAGGGCUUGGGAGUUCAAGGGUCCGAGAUUUUAUUUCAUUGAGUCCCCCAUAGUUCAGGGGUACAGAUCAAAGCGAGGACCCACAGGAUUUCAUAGAUCAGCUUCACAAGAUCUUUCGGGUUAAUGCAUGCUACAGAGAACGAAACAGUUGAACUAGUAGCUUUUCGACUCCAAGACAUAGCCUUCCUUUGGUACGAGGGAUGGGAGAGGUCCAGAGGACGUGAUGCACCUCCAGCUAAUUGGGAGAAUUUUUCAAAUGCUUUCUUUGACCAGUACUUACCGCGAGAGACCCAACAAGCUCGAGACAAUCUGUUUCUAGCCCUCAAGCAGGGCAAUAUGAGUGUUCGAGUGUAUAGUCUCCGUUUUGACUCAUUGGCCAGAUAUGCACCAUCCAUAGUUACUACUAUGCGGGACGGGAUUCACAGGUUUAUUGCAGGGUUAGCCCCAUAGUUGACUGAGGCAUGUGCCACUGCUACAUUGCAGGAUAGUAUGGAUAUCUCCCAGAUUCAAGCAUUCACCUAGAAUAUAGAAAGGGGUAGGCGGCAGCAGGGUGCAGAGAGGACUGAGCAAGGGAAGCGUAAGAGGAUAAGAUUUAGUAGGUCUCAGGAGUAGUCUCAGAGUAGUUAUAGGCCCCAGUACUUCGAACAGCCAUCUAGGCCUCUGCCACCUCAAUUACAAGGUUACAGGUAUGACCGCUAUACUCAGUCAGGACCAGGUGAGAGCUCAAGGCAUCAGGUUUGCAGCGACAGCGACGUUCAGGGCAGACGUGGUCAUUUCCACCAUGGUGUGACAUCUAUGGUAGAGGACACUUGGGCCAAUGCUAAGCAGGUUCUGAUGUUUGUUAUACAUGUGGGCGUCCAGGGCAUAUCAUACAAGAUUGCCAAAUACAGAUUUUAGGGAAUGGCACAACCAUCGAGUUCAAAAACAGGAUCAUAUAUGUCCUUGUAUCAUUCAGGGUGCGAGUCUCAAUCUUCGGCUGGUAGAGGUUGAGGCAGUGGUAGAGGUUCUAGUUCAAGUGGUAAUCAUAACCGUAUCUACGCUUUAGCAGGUCGACAGGACUGGGAAUCUUCAUUGGACAUUGUGACAUGUAUAUUGACCAUUUGUUCUCAUAAUGCCUAUGCUUUGAUAGACCUAGGAUCUACUUUAUCAUAUAUUACCAUAUUUGUCGCGGUGAAGAUUGGUAUAGUGCGUGAAAUACUAACUGAUCCUUUUGUGAUAUCCACACCGAUCGAAGAAUCGAUUAUUGCUGGACGGAUUUACAGAGGUUGUACGGUGAUAGUUUGCAAUCGUCAAACCUCAACUAACCUAGUUGAGCUAGAGAUGUUGGAUUUUGAUGCUAUCAUAGGCAUGGACUAGUUGGUAGCUUGUUACACCAUAGUUGAUUGUCGAGCAAGGGCAGCCAGAUUUCAUUUUCCGGGUGAGCCAGUCCUUGAAUAGGUAGGUAAUACAGCGACACAGAGAUAGGUUUAUUUCCUAUCUGAAGGCGAGGAAAAUGAUUGCAAAAAAGUGUUCAUUUAUCAUAUGGUGUGAGUUAGAGAUGCAGAUGCUGAGAUACCUACACUUCAGUCUAUUCCCGUAGUAAAAGAGUAUGCAGAUGUGUUUCCAAAUGAGCUUCCAGGUAUUUCUCCAGAGAGAGAGAUUGAUUUUAAUAUCGAUUUGCUUUCGGGAACUCAACCAAUAUCCAUCCCUCCGUAUAGAAUGGCGCCUGCCGAAUUGAAGAAGCAGUUAAAAGAUUUGCUGGAGAAAGGGUUCAUCAGGACUAGUACCUCACCUUGGGUUGCACCAGUACUUAUACGAAAGAAAGAUGGCUCGCUGAGGAUGUGUAUCAAUUAUAGGUAGCUGAACAAGGUAACUAUUUAGAAUAAAUACCCACUUCCAAGGAUCAAUGACUUGUUUGAUUAGAUGCAAUGGGAUAGAUGCUUUUCAAGGAUAGAUUUAAGGUCGGGGUACCACUAGGUCAGACUUCGGGAGAAAGAUAUUUCGAAAACAGCCUUCAGGAUCCAAUAUGGACACUUAGAGUUUCUUGAUAUGUUCUUCGAGUUGACAAAUGCACUAGUUGUUUUUAUGGACUUGAUGAAUAGCCUAUUCCAGCCAUUUUUGGAUGUAUUUGUGAUAGUAUUUAUUGAUGAUAUUCUAGUUUAUUCAUGUUUAGAGGAUGAGCGUUCGGAAAACCUGCGAGCAAUACUCCAAACCCUCCGUGAUCGUAAGUUGUAUGCAAAGUUUUCUAAAUGUGAGUUCUGGUUGAAGUCUGUAGCAUUCUUGGGGCAUAUUGUCUCUGAUAAAGGUAUAAAAGUAGACACUCAGAAGAUUGAGGUUGUGAAAUCUUGGCCUAGACCUACCACUCCAAAAGAAGUGCGUCGCUUCCUAGGCUUAGCAAGAUACUACCGGAGGUUCAUAGAGGGUUUUUCUUCCAUUUCGGCACCAUUGAUGAAGUUGACACAAACAAUUUUAGUUUCAAUGGACGGAGGCUUGCUAGCAGAGUUGCCAAGAGUUUAAGAACAGGUUGACCUCACCGCCAGUUCUAACACUACAAGAGGCUCAAGAGGGUUAUGUGGUGUAUUGUGAUGCCAUAAGUGUUGAGUUACGAUGUGUCCUGAUGCAACAUAGGAAGGUAAUUGCAUAUGCUUCACAGUAGUUGAGGAAGCACGAGAGGAAUUAUCCGACCCAUGACCUCGAGUUAUCUGUGGUGGUCCAUGCACUCGGCAUUAUUUAUAUGGUGUUCUGGUUGAUGUAUUUAGAGAUCAUAAAAGCCUACAAUAUAUCUUCAAACAGAAAGAGUUAAAUUUACAAUGGAGAUGAUGGCUUGAGUUAUUAAAAGAUUCUUAUGUUAACAUUCUCUACCAUCCAGGGACAGCUAAUGUUAUAGCAUAUGCCUUAAGUCGCCGAUCUAUGGGUAGCUUAGCAUAUGUAGAGGCCGAGAAAUGACAAUUAAUUAGAGAGAUUCAUCAGUUGGUAGUUUAGGGGUUCGGUUGGUGGAUUCUGAUGAUGGUGGAGCCGCAUUCCAAAACACUGCAAAAUCAUCUCUUAUAGUUAAAGUCAAGAAAAGGCAGUACGAGGACAAAGAGGUAGUCAGGUUGAGAGAGCGAGUUCUGCAAUAAAAGGAGCCAUCAUUAGAGCUCAAGGGAGAUGGAGUUAUCGGUUACAGGGGUCGUCUGUGUGUUCCAGAUAUAGCAGGGCUACGAGACAGGAUUAUGUUAGAGGCACAUUACUUAUAGUACUCCAUUCAUCCUGGGUCCACGAAGAUGUAUCAUGACAUUAGGGAUGUGUACUAGUGGAACGAUAUGAAGAAGAACAUUGAUGAGUUUGUCUCCUAGUGUCCUAGUUGCCAGCAGGUGAAGGUAGAGCACCAGAAGCCCCGAGGGCUAAUGCAGACUAUAGAGAUCCCGACACGGAAAUGGGAGGCAAUAAACAUGGACUUUGUCACGGGUUUACCUCGUUCUCAUCGUACGUUUGAUUCUAUAUGGGUGAUAGUCGAUAGGCUUGCGAAAAUAGCUCAUUUACUAUUGGUCAGAUCUAUAUAUACAGCAGAAGAUUAUGCAAAGCUAUAUAUUAAGGAGAUAGUGCAGUUACAUGGAGUACCAGUAUCUAUUAUAUCUGAUCGUGGGACCAAGUUUAGAGCACAUUAUUAAAGGUCAUUUCAGAGAGGUCUAGGGACUCACGUGAAUCUCAGCACACCUUUUCAUCCACAGACAGGUGGACAAGCCGAGCGCACAAUUCAAACGCUCGAAGAUAUGUUAUGAGCAUGUGUGCUGGAUUUUAAAACAGGAUGGAAUGAACAUCUACCUCUUAUCGAGUUUGCAUAUAAUAACAGUUACCACUCCAGUAUCCAGAUGGCUCCGUAGCAGGCUUUGUAUGGCGUAAGUGCAGAUCUCCUAUAGGGUGGUUUGAUGUUGGAGAAUCCACGUUACAUGGUCCAGACCUGGUUCAGCAGGCCAUAGAGAAGGUAAAUCUUAUUCGGGAGUGACUGUUGAUAGCUCAGAGUCAUCAAAAGUCAUAUUAUGACGUGCGGUGACGAGACUUAGAGUUCAGGGUUAAUAAUCUGGUGUUCUUAAUGGUAUCACCUAUGAAAGGCGUAAUAAGGUUUGGAAAGAAAGGCAAGCUUAGCCCACGGUAUAUUGGGCCUUAUUGGAUUAUUCGGAGAGCGGGGCCAAGUAGCAUAUGAGUUAGAGUUGCCCUUAGAAUUGGAGUCUGCAAAUUUUUCAUAUAUCUAUGUUGUGGAAGUGCAUUGGCUAUCCUACCCAAGUGGUGCCCACGGAUGAUGUGCAGAUUAUGAAGGACUUGUCAUACAAGGAGAUUCCAGUUGCCAUCCUAGACCGACAAAUUCAUAAGCUACAAAAUAAGUAGGUAGCCUCCGUGAGGUUCUGUGGAGAAGCAAGAAUGUGGAAGAGAUGACGUGGGAAGCGGAGGAAGAAAUAAAGCCUAAGUACCCCCCACAUAUUUCAACCUGAAGAUAUGGAUCGAGAUAUGAUGCUAAAGCACAGCUAUAUUCAGGCUAGUAGGUCAUCAAGUAUGCACUUAUUUAUUGCUUUAAGUAUUUAUGAUUUGCGGUUGUGUGAAGCAAAGUAUUGUUAUUUAAAGACAUUGGCCAUGUAUGGCCUACAUAGUAUAUUUUCUGGUUGCGUGCAGGUUGGUUUUACUCUAGUGUAUAGAGGAGACUUUAGCAAAAAAUUUCCAAAGUCUCCAAGAGUAAACAUUCCAGGACAAAUCUUCCCAAGGGGGGGAUGAUGUUACACCCUAUAUUUCCAUAGGUAAAAGUGUGUCAUACACAAACUAAUGUAGGACUAAAAAUGAGAGAAUAUUUGAAAAUAUACAAAUUAAAUUAAUAAUGUUACCUUAGAGGUUAAAACAGGGAAGAUCAUGAACAAUAAGUACAAAGAGGGUUGGAAGGUUCAGAAGGUAAAGGAAAGGAAGAAAACAAUGUUUCGUUGAAAGUCGACAAGAUGGGAGUGUUAUAACAGGUACUUUGGGUUUGAGACUAGGGUUAUUAAUAUGAUAAGAAGGUUAUUUAUGAAAUAUAUUAGUCGUAUGAUAGUUGUGCAUUAUGUUUUAAUGUCAAGCGAGUUGUCGAACAAAAGUCGAUGAAAAGUCAUCACAAGUUACAUUCAUAAGUUUCACUUAAACUAUAGGUCAAAUGUGACUGCAAUUUUCUCCCAAUAUACUUAAAGUUAUGGGUGUUACACCCAUAAAAUUGAAGCUCUAUAAGUCUAUUAUUUAACUCAUUAAAUUGCUUAUCAAUAUAACAUCAGAAUAGAGAGAUAUAUGCAUUUUUGCAAGACUGCGAUGGCUGUUUGAUGACAAGUAGGUGUGUCACCUACUAGGUUAAAUUAGAGCCCAAAAAGAGGCAAUUUUGGGUCAGCCAAAGAGCCCAUUUAAGGGCUCAUAUCUUGAAAAGUACACCUCAUUAUACAUCAGAAAUAAAUAGACCUAAGACUCUGCAAACGUCCUCCCAAAAAUCACCCACAAAUCCUAACUGAAUUUCUCUCCCUUUCAAGUUCUAAAUGAGGGUAAAACCUAGAGUUUGAAGAACCAAGAUAAGGAUUGAGUUAUCCAACAAAUAAAGUAUGUCAAAUGCUGUAUUUCAUCCAUUUUGUCUGCUGUAAAUUCAUGGUAAGUCGUUCUAUACUUGUAAGAACUCAUGGGACGGUGAUCGGAAACUGUGAGAUCGAGUUAUUCACUUGUAGCGGACUGUUUUGUGGACUGUUUUGUGUUACUGUUGGGCUGCACAAUUUUACUACUAUUUUGUGGAUUUUUGGAGGAUGAAGGGUGUGGAGAAACACCUCAUAGAUGUACGGUGUUUGUCUGGUUGUUUUGCGUAAAGUUUCAUGGUCGUUUGACACUACUACGGUAGUCUUUUUGUGUAUGAUGAGAUUCUGUGUGUUGGGUUGUUUGGUAGUAUUCUAUGGUGUAUAUAAGGCUGGAAAUUAAUAUUUAUAUGUUGUUGUUAUUUUGUUCUUGUGUUGUUGGUGGUAUCUUGAAUUCGGAGGAAGUAAGGAUUCUAGGGGAGAUGCUGCCCAUUUUUAUACAAAAUAAGCUUGUCGUUCGUUGUGCAAUAGUUGUACCUUUACAACUUAACGAUAUUGUUAUUAACGUUAUUGUAGAUCAAGGUGCAAAGAGGUGAUUUCAACUUAGUGAUUGGAAAAAAUGUGAUAAGGUAUGUCCAGGCUAAGCCCUUCCUUCAUUUUGGCAUGAUCUCGUAACUACAUAUGUUGAUGACGAGGCAUAGCGAGAAGUUCAUACUCCAAAAUUUAUAUACAUUAUCCUAGUCUCAUAAGUUACAAUAUUCUUCCCUAUCGGGGCUUUAUAUUCAAUUGAGUAUUGUCUUAUUCUAGUCAAGAGAAUUGAGGGCCUCUAUAUGUAAACAAUAUUAUAGUAUUUUACCACCAUCGAGCUAUAAUCGAUGGGCAAGCCCCUAUCGGGCAACCUCUGGUCAGAUGGUAAGUUAUAUACCGAGCCUACUGUGGCUGAGCGCCUAUGAGGGAGCCCAGAAUGGACGAGAUACAGAGCAUUGUAUGGUCGAGCGCAUAUGAGCGAGCCUACUACGGCAGAGCAGUUACAUGUUCCGAGCCUUAUAGGGCUAAAUAUUUAUUUUACUUACUAUAUUGAGAGCGUUGAGUCAGUAUCAGCAGGUAAUUAUAUCUCCAGAUCAUCUUUGGCUCCUAGCUACUUCAGUUAUUAUGUUAUCAGCUCAGUUUCAGCUUUCGAUUAUUUUAUUAACUUACAUACUCGGUACACUAUUUUGUACUGACGUCCUUUUUUGAGGGUGAUGCAUUUCAUGCAUGUAGGUUCAGACAGAUAGACGGGCUCAGUAGGUGUAGCCCCAGUUUAUCCUUAGCGGUAAGCUCCACGUCCUUCAGAGUUGUCGGGUCUAGAGUUUUAUGUACAUCUUAUGUAUAUAUGUAAUUAUUUUAUGGAUAGGGCGGGGCCUUGUUCCGAUCACAGUAUAUCCAUCAGCAAAGGCUUGUAGAUAUAUCAUGUUAGUUAGUCCAGUAUGUUAGGCUUGUAGGCCUUAUAUUUAUAUUUUGUUUGUCUAUUACAUGCAGUAGUUAUGACGGCCUUAUCGGCCCAGCUUUCUAUUAAUGUCUAGUCAGCAUUAGUUCCAGUCAGUUUUAUAUUUUUCUUCGCAAUUUGUCUUGCAAUGUGGCCCCAUGGCCAAUGUAUGACACUAUAUGUUAAGAGUUCUUUACUCGCAAGUUGGUAUGCAAGGUUAGGUGAGGCACUACGCGCCGGUCUCGCCCCCAGAUUUAGGGCGUGACAGGCCUGAAGUUAUUGGCCUUAUUUCGAGUCAGUUCACGAACAGCCCCAUGUGAAGCCAUUUUUAUCAAUAAAAGGCUCCGGGAAGGCUCGAGACAGCACUUGAGUGUAGGCAACUCCUCAAUAGAAGUCAAUCACAAACGCUCUAAAAAGCUAUCUACAUCUAGUCCAAAGGGAGCCCCAGCCCGAGCCUAUCAGAUCAACUUAGGCUUGGCCCGAGGUAUGAUGAAAGACAUAUCAAUUGGCAAAAGAUCGGGAAAAAUUCUCGCAUCUGAGCCCCGCAUCAGCCGCCAACAACGGAGGAAGACAUUCAAAGUCCUCGAAGGGCAUAAGAGCAUACAAAGGCAAGGCAAGAACUGAAAGCAGACGUAAAGCAAAAGUAUAUUUUUAUGAACUAAAAGCCCUCGAGGGGUCCUUACAUAUGAUUAAAAAGGCACAUAAAGGGAUCCUCACAUAAAAAGUAAAAGAAGUCCAAAGGCAUAUGACCUCAAAGACAAUAUCUUCCAAGUCUGAGGCCUUCGAGAGCCUCAUCUAGAUUUCUUAGAAUUGCAUCUUCAAAAAGAAAAGAGAUGAGGAAAGGAGACAAGAAUUGGCUGGGUGAAAAACCUGGUUGUCAUAAACCCUAUAAGUAUCAGUCCCACCUAGCCACUUCUUUAGAUGUUGUCUCAAUACAAAAGGUAAUAGCGAGCGGGAACCACCGCCACAUCCCCUAAGAAUCCAAAGAGGGUGUAACGUGCCGAGCCGAGAAAGGAGGGUGAGAAGUGGUGUAUAAUUCGAACCCCUUUUUGAGCAGCAGUGUAUAAGCCAAAGUGUUUCUCGGGGUCAGAAGGAAUCAGCCCUCUGCCUCAUCACCCCGCACUGACGAUGACUGCAGCAACAGUAAUAACAGCAACGACAACAACAGCAGCAUCACAGUGGCACAACUUCAUCCAACCAAAAAUAAAUCAAGGGAGGAGUCAAUGCGCAUAUAGGAUAAAAUCUCAAAGCCAUGGGCCUCAAACAGGACAAGAUGGCAAAGAUUCAAGAUAGCAGGAAAAGAAGAGGAGAUAGGUAUCAAUGGAAGUUUGAAUAAAAAAGCCAGCAAUAAGAAGCCCCAUUUAUAGGGAGGGAAAUGUAACCGACGGUUCUAUCACCACCCUCGAAAAAUGUAAUACCAUGUGUAAUCAAUGCGUUCAUAGAACUGAACCGAUAGCAAUGACCCAACUCCGAAGAAUAAAGAGUUAUAACAUUUUGGGUGAUCCUGAAGAAGCGAAAAGGUGAGGCACCUCGAUACUUAUAAAAGGAGGGUUACACCGUUGGCACGAUGCCAUUAUAGGAUACCGAGAAAUAGAAUAUCAAUAUCAUGUCUUAUCACGUUCCUUUAAGAAACACUAAGACUAUCUACGUGCAGUGAAAUCUAAGGGGCCGAUUUCCCCUUGACAUAAUACUUCUAUGGGUGAUCCCAGAAGCAUGAGAUCUCGAGUCAGAUGCUUCCUUUAAAGUCUAUUAAUGCUCUACCAAGGAUAAUAUCGGCCACAGCCCCCAAAAGUGCAGAAAUCUCCCGAGGAAUGCACCCGGGGUCGAUCAAGUCUGUUCGAGCGGCUUAAAGUCAGCUUACAUACAACAUAAAGCUAACCAACUAUCACAUCCCAUUCUCUUUUAUCACACAAUGUAUUUUGUAUUACGUUUGGACUUUCCCUUUCUAUAAAGAGGGGUCAUUAAUGCCUUUUAAAGGAGAGCUCCAUUUAUAUUACUCAAGUGCAAAAAUAUCUUCUCUCUCUUUCUCUUUUCUAAUUUGCUUAUUCCCAUUGGCUUUAGGUCAUGUAACUUUGGUUACCUUCUUGUUUGUUCUUUGUUUAUCACUUGGUAUUGCCCAGAGGCCAUCUUUACUUCCAUCGCCCUUUUACUUUUUUUUUAUUAUAUAGGUUAGUAUUGGCCGAAACGAGCCUUAUUUAAUUGUAUAUUUGAUUGUAAUCCAUCCCCAAUAGUUCAAGCUCGACACCCUUAACCUGCCCGGCUGGCUCCGGAGGCUGGUGACCCAUUUGACCUGCAACGAGCGCAGGCAGCGAGUUGUAUUUCGUACCAUAUAGGGAGUAAAAUACCAAGGUAUGUGCGUAUGUUUCCUUUUCCUUCACCUUUGUAAAUUCAAGGUAACAUUUUCCCUUUCAUUUGGACUGGAUUCACCACUUGCAGACAUCGGCAGUUCAUUAGGAAGAGGCAGUUCUCUUCCAAAAAGGGGAAUGAGUUGUCGGCGAGCCGAGAGACAAUGGCGAUAAGGGGGAUCGGCACCUAUGGUGCGAUGGAGCUUUUAGUAGCAUUGGGUUGGCCCGUAUCUAUGAGGAGAGGGCAUCGUCCAAGCCUAUUGUUCCUAGAGUAUCAUAUUCUCGGGCAACGAUUCCUCUGAGUGAAUAUGUUCUGCCCAAGGUUGGUUCUCCUGGGGUCGGAGAGGCAAGAUCAACAGGAGUUUGUUCUGGCUUAGAGGAAGUCCGUUGGCUUCUCUUCGAGGUGAGUUUAGGCACGUUUCAUGCCCUCCUCCCUUUAUUGAGUUUUCUUUGCACAUGCUUGCGAUGGGCUUAUGUUUGAGCUACUCUGACAAGGGGCUAGGCUCUAGAAAAUCCUGAACUAGGGUGAGUACCUUAGGCUUCUUAGCAAGGAGAAGGAGACUGAGUUGGUGCAUUGGCGAUAUGAGGCAUAUUAGAGCUCAAACUAAGAGAGUUAUUUGAUGGACCAGGUAACUUCCUGUACUACGCGCUUCGCUCCUUUCUAACCUUAAGGCUAACCCCUUUUUUUAUAUCAGCCACAGAAAAAGGAAGAGGCCUUGGAGUACCUCAAAGGCGACGUCAACCGCGUGAGAGUUACUUGUAGGGAGCUAAGGGCUCAAGUGCAGGCUCGAGCUUUUGAGGAGAUAAGUGCCUCGACCAAGGUCCCUACCUUCGAGGUCUAACUCCGCUUGACUCGUGACAAUUCCAAAGUUCAAGUGCAUAUAAUUGGGAAACUUGAAUCUGAUCUCUCGAAGGUCAGAUAUGAGAUAAUUGAUGCCCGGUCUGAAGCAGCACUAAGCCGAACCAAGGUUGAUCAGGAGGUGGCGAUUCAUAUGAAGGAUGUUCUUGACGCCCAAGUCGAGCUGAAGCGAGCCCUCGACCAAAAGAAGAGGAUUGAGGGAUAUAUUUGUUGCAGAUCCUGAAGAGAGGCACUCGAUGUGGUCAAUGCAAGGGGCUUCGUUCUCUCGGAGGAAUUGGCUCAAGCAAGGGCGGACGAGCAUGACGCUCAUUCACUUCUCACUGACAUCGCGGAGGGCGAAUAUGACAAGUUGUAGCUCUUUAGUGCAGAGUGUAGAUUUUGCCAAUGUAUCGCUUUGUUUCUGAUAUAUAUAUAGCACGCUUGUAGAUGGAGAAUGCGCCUUGUUCCUGUAUAUAAUAUAUAAGAAGAAACUUGAAGCUUUAUUUCUUCUGUACCUCUUUUCUAUUAUUGCUUUCGAUUGGGCAGGCUGGUUUUAGUGUUUGGCAGGAUCUUCAUAGGUCCGGAACUGAUCGGAUAGACCUGGAGUUUUUUAUGUGAAAUCCUUGACAUGAGCAGGCACAGGGGCCUCUGUGUUUUUCUAAGCAGUUUAGGCUUAGUCUCCAAGUCAGCCCUUGACUCGAGCUUGCUAUACUUUCAAUCUCUAUGCUUGUGCAGGUAGGCAGUGAUUGUUUUUAUUUGUGCCCUUGGGCAUAUGUUGUUCCAACUACUUUGGGUCCAGUCUCAGACUCGCAUUACGAUCUAGGCUUUAAUUGGCCCUCAAGUUCUUUUCUUCCUAUGUGGGAAGACGAUAGUGGCCCUUUGUCCUUUGGGGUCGAAGUGACCUUACCCUUAGGCAUAUUGUAAUUUGAAUGUUUAAGUCUAGUCUUCGAGUCGCGUCGAAUUCCAGUUGUAAUUGACCCUUAUGUUUUAUUGAUUUUCUCGCCGGCGAUAGUGGCAUUUAUGUUGUGCCCUUAUUCAUAUUAAAGUUCAAUUACUUCGGGUCCAGUCUCUGAGUCGCAUCGCGAUCAAGCUGUAAUUGACCCUUUAGUAUGUGGCUUAGGGGCUUGUAUAGUUAACUCUUUUGGAUGUAAUCUUCGAAUCACGUUACGAUUCGAGCUCAUUUUAAUACUCAAGUUGUCAAUUUUCAAGCUGGCAACAAUGGCUCUUACGAUGUUUGGUCGUUGACACCUUUUAGUGUGCGGCCCAUAGGCUCGUUUAGCUGGCGAAAAUGGCUCUUAUGCUAUUUUUCCUGUGGGGUUUUUAGGCUUUGUAUUCCGUUCAUUAAGGACUUUUGAAAUAGUUUUUCCUAACAUGUCAUUGGUUCUAGAAGAACCUUGAUUUCAAGUCAUUAUUGGUGAUGUUUCGAGCACCUCGGAAGGUUCAUAGCUCAUAGGUCGAGUAGAUCAACGCUCUCGCGAUUUGGAGUCAACAUGGUCGGAGCUCGUUUUUGCCUGUUGAGGGAAGCAUGUUUGAACCGAUUCUUUUCUAAUGGAUACUCGAAGUAGUGGCCUACGAUAUUGUUUAGCGACAGUUAGGUGUCCCCGAGUCUCGUUAUUUUGGAUGUAUCAACCAUUUUGACCGUAGUCAUAUGUGUUUGGCUGUAACCAUUUUUGAUCUUGAGUGAUAGUUUAGGAAUCUACAUCGAGGGUAUGCCCUUUAGGGAUUCUUACAAUUGUGACAUAUAGCCUAAACUUUGGGAUUUUCAUGCAUGUUGAGGUCUUACAGUUUGUCAUUCCUGUUGAGGUCUUACAGUUUGUCAUGCCUACUAAUGUCUUAUAGUUUGCCAUGCCUGUUGAGAUCUUGCAAUUUGUAUGAUAUUGAAUAGAUCUUGUUACGUCGAGUCUUCCUGCUAGGGGUCUUAUAGUUUUGGGUUUUCCAGCAUGUGGCAAUUAUUGACAGACAUCGAGUUUGUUUAAGCUUGAAGACCACUUCUCAUGAGCUCGAAGUUUCCUUGUAGGGGCUUGAUGAGCCCAGAGUUCCGACCUUAGGGCCAUGCAGGCACUGAAUUGUUUAAGUCUUUGAGUAUUUCGGGACGUAUUUGGCGGAGAGGCUUUUGUCAAGAGUAUACUGAAAUCCCAUUUUCCGAAGUAUAAAAUUCCAAAAAGAUAUUCUUUAUUGCUUGGUGUAAAUAUAUGUUGUAAAUACAUGUUGUCCCAUUUUUAUGAGCUAGGCCCGCGUGGGUGCGACUCUUCUGAUCGUCUGAUCCGUUUACGGGAUUCACUAUUUAAACUCAGCAUGCCAUUUCUUGGCCCUUCUGAGGGGAUGGUGUCCUUAAGAGAAAUCUAUUUCAUGUUGUCUGAUUAUAGAAGAAAGGCCUAUGAUCGCGUCAGAUCCUCCUCUGGGGGUACGCUGCUCCGCUAAUAAUCUUCCUGGCAGGACCCUCUUUAGGUUGGAAGCCUGAUCGAGGGAAGAAAGCACGGGAGGCCCCGCUGAGGCCUUGGAUCUUUGAGUGGAGCUAGAACUUCUGAAUGCCCCGACUGAUUGCAUGCACAUAGGUUAGUAAAAUAAAAAGAAACAACAAAGGAGUGAAGUAGUUCUUCCUUGCUGCGGGAUGUGUAGGCGACGUUUCGAGGUUUGGUAUGUUUCUACCAUAUCAAGGAAGGAGCCAUAAUACAGCCUUCUGUUGUGUUCAACCAGGCUUGGCCGAAGAUGCGGUUCUGCUUAUCCUUUGAUUCCUUUGAAGGCAGAGGCAUUGAUGCCGGCAAUGGGUCAUAUGGAGAGGGAUUUCCUUUCGACGCGUGCAACUCCUUAUCGAAUGCUUUAGUCUAACCCUUGUUGUAGGGUUUCAUCCCUUUAGAGGAGUGGGCUCGAAUUUGCCUCCAGGCGAUGUGCCCGUUGUCAUCUUAAUAAGAUGUAUGUGCCUUGCUGGCUCGGUAUUGUAGUCUGAGCUGAGAUGGGCUGCAUAGAGGGAGUGGUCUUCCUGAUUGUUGUGGCGAUCGACGUCUGGAAUCCGUCAAAUAUUUGAGAUGUGGGAGUGACUUGGUUCGUUUUUCUGAAUUGCCAUAUCGAUUUUGGUCUGACAUCGUCGGUAUAAUCGAUUGAACCACAUGUAUUCAUAAACAUGUGUUUUAUUUGGAAUAGGUCAAAUGAGGUAGAGAGUUACCAAUGUGUCAAUAUGAGGCCCAGGUGUCCUUUGGAAUAUUCCCUAGCGACGAGCACUUUCACUCUUAUGGAUCUUUGAAGGGUGUCGCCGCCCCUUUACUAUUGUGGUAAUAUGUCGUGGCUUUUCAGCUUCACUCUUCCCAGUCUCUUUCCUCCCUUAGAGCAGGAUUCGAUCCUGACCACUUAGCGGUAAUUUUUAUUGAAUAGAAAGGUUGUCGUUCUUUUGAUUCAGUGGCCAUUUUUGACUUUGUAGCCACGCGCCCUGCGGUUCCUGCGUCGAUCUAUGGUUCUUUUGAAGGGGCCUUGGUUGAAUACGCCUGAGUCACCUGGCGUUCUUGUUUUCUCUUAAGGUGAUCACGAUGUUCGGUAAAGCAAUACUAAAAUCAUACUCAGUUGGGCGGGUUCUCCUGCCGGCUGUGCCUUGUCGAAUCUAGUUCAACUGGAUAUUUCUCGAGGAUGUUUCCCUCGAGCUAUUUCCCUAUCAUUGCGAGGUAGGAUGCAUCUCGUGUUGUUCCUUCCAUUCGUGGUGCAUGGAUGGUACCUCCAUCUAUUUGGCAUUAGCUUCUUUAUCGGCAGUCUGCUUGGAUAUACAAAACCCGAGGAGGUUCUCGGACGAUUGUCCACGGCCCCAAUUCAUGGCUGGUGCCGGGUAUGAGCAUCCAACCAGGUCACGGCUGGGUAUAUGAAAUGUCCUGGAAUCAUCGGGCAUGCUUCAUUUAAGCUUCAAGUGAUAGCCUGUGUUGCCCAAUCAUUCAAAACUGGGAGCGAUCUCAUUCGUUCUAUCAGAGAAUAAGGUGCACCUUCCCAUGGUGUUACAUUUUUUCUUCGUUCAGAUUUAGGUGUAUCGGGCCCUUUCAUUAACACACUGGUAUGGUAAGCAAGUUUGUGAGGUCAGGUGCCAGGCAGUGACCCUGCGUCAUGGUUUAUUUCGAGAAAGUUUCCUCAAACCUCCUCAAUGAAACGGGCUCAAACUCAUCAUCUUGGAGAUCACUACCUUUUAAUGAGCACGUGUAAGCGGUGGCAUGCUCGUAGGGAUCUGAGGUCCUAUCACACCUAGAAAGUUUUGGCAUUGCGAAUUUCCUUGAACCGAGUUUUGGGACCGCUUCCUCGGGGGACGAUUGUCGUAUGAACUUCCAUAACCUGACUCGAUCCUUUCAAAAAGAUCCCUAAGAAUCUUUGCUGCGGAGGGGUUGGUUACUGAUCCAUUGUUGUUUGAUCUCUCGGGUACUUGUUCGGCAUAGUUUCCGGCGCUACUGUGUUGUGAGUCUCCAGGUGACUUUGCAGCUAAGCAAUAGCCAACUGCUAUCCCGGCAAUAUUUUUAAAUAUCGCAAAGACCCACUUCCUAUUCUUUCCGGACCAGGGUUCUUUGAGCUUUCUGUUGGUCAAUACGUUGUAUGCUACUAUUGGUGCGCGAGGCUUCGUCGGCCCGCUGUGUGCCUUCUGAACCUGCGUCUGCUUGAAUAAAUAUAUAUGCAUUAUCAGGGUUCUGUGGAGGUGCUCCAGCAUUUUCCAUGUGAUUUUUGAGGUUGUCAUUCCCGAUUUUGCUCACCAAGCCAGACAUUUUGACCUGAAAUCAAAGGAUCUUGAACAACAAAAAGUGUGAGAGAUAAUGUGCGUUUGUGCAACGAAACCAGCAAGAAAAUAAUCACUAUUAUUUUUAGCCCCACGGUUGGCGCCAAAUUGAUUACCAUGAAAAUGGUAAUAACAAUUAAAUUUGUAAAUGGGAUACUAAAAAUACAUGAUUUAUUCUCGAGAUAGUUGUUAGAGCAAUUGAUUCUAAGAACAUGAAGUUUAACGAUGAAGUGCGAGCUAAAACAAGGCAGUAAUGAAACCAAAGGGACCUAUUGCUCGGAUGCAGAACCGGCCUAUGAGAACCUCGGGGUCGAGGAUUGAUUUGAGAUCGAGCUAUCGGAGGCAGCCAAGAAUGGGAUAACAAUUAAGUAUACGAUUAAUCAAGGAUCUUUACGACAAAUAAUGAGCAAUAUAAUAGAGAACAGGUAAGGGAGCGAUAGAUAUUAAGGCGGCCUCGGGCCAGUGAGGACAAACAAGUUAUUAAGGAGAGAGAAAGAGAGAUAUUAUUGCACUAUUUGGAGAAAUGGAGCAACAUCAGCCCCUUACAAGGUGGGGUGAGUCCCAUUUAUAUAGAAGGGGGGAUUCGGCUAUAAGUAUGUGGAAAUUAAUUACAAAGUAUGGAGAUGGGAUGGCUUGGCGUGAUGCCUCACUAUAGGCUCUGGAUAGGCUGGCCCUGUCAGACUUCGCCGUGUGCCUUGGCAGCUUCCCCCUCUGUCCAGACUUCGAUCUCUGUUUCCUUUGAGUCGGGCUUUGACAAGCCUCGAGGUCGGGAACUCUGCCGCGGCCUCCCAUCCUUGGUAUCCCAGGGCAUGCUUCCGAAAUGACUUGACAGCAAGAAAUCAAGUCUUCUAAUUUUGCCACAUACAUGGCUAAUUGACCGGAAAUGCGGUACCGCAAAAGCAGUAUUUGGGCCACAUGUGUGGAAUCCCCUGGGCCAGAGGUAUAUAUUGUUCUCUUCGUGAAAUUUUGCUAAGUUCUCCAUUUUUUAAGACAGUAAAGAGGCUAAGGCAGUGGAUUUCAAAGAAAUCAAGGGAUAUCAGUUGGGUAAGUUCCCUAAUCUUCAUAAUUUGGGUUUAUGAUCAUUUUCUUAUUGUUUAAUCAUGGUAUUAGUGGAGAUUAAGAAAGAUAAAGGGAUUAGGGCUUGAGAUUAAGAGAAUUUAAAAUGGGAAUUUGAUGGGUCAUUUGGACUCCGAUUUAAGAGUUAUUGGUAUGUUUGCAAUCGUGGAAGGAUAAGGAUUAUGUUGAUGUGAUUUCUACCGAGUUUCUAGAUGUGGUCCUAGGGGUCGGGUUUUGACAAUUUCAAGAUUUUUGGUAUUAAUUGAUUACUUUCGCUUGGGCUUCGCUCUCUUAGCAUAUUUUCACGCCAUGAUUUUGAUUUUCGAUAUUUGACGGGAGUGGAGGCAGAUUCGAAGGGCAAAUGUAUCAUGGAGUAGUAAUUUCAGCAUUUUGAGGUAAGUAACCAUUUUAAAUCUUAGACUAAGUGUACAAAACCCCGAUAUUUGAAUUGUUUUGAUAAAUUUGGUGAGCACAUUUUAGGUUACAAGCAUGUGGGUGUGCACCGGUAGAGAUUGUGACUUGGUCCGUCUUGUAGUGUCUAUUAAGCUGCGUAUUUGAUUUGGAACAAUAUGAUAUUGCAUACUUUAGUCAUUUAUACUGUAUUAUGGGCGGUAUGCCAUGUUUGGGGCCUUGUGCCGGCCUGUUGAGACCCUCGGGGGCAUUUUUAUUGCUUUUUCCUCACUCUACUUGUUUGAAAGCAUAUCCUCAGUCAUGUUUUACCUGUUUAUUAUUUAAAACUGGUUAUAUCACUCUACUUCCUAAUUGUGAGGACUGUUUGGACUGAGUUUCCUAAUUUCAACAGUUGUGCCCAAAAGGCUGUGAGGUUAAUGAUUGAGGAAGGUUGAGAACCUAAUGGUGAGGAUAAUUAUAUAUGUAUGAACUAUGGAUCAGGUUGCACACCACAACAAUUCUUCAAUGGAUCAGGUUGUACGCCGCAGUGAUACGAUGCUUGGGCUUUAGGAGCCCCUCAGGAGUCUAUACACCGCCAGUGAGGCCAUAAAUUAUGGAUCGGGCUGCACGGUGCAACGGUUACUAUGGUUAUUAUUAUUAUGAGAUACUAAUGAGCCUGAGUGUUGAGAUUGUGUACUGAGUGACGAGAGCUGAGUCAUGUGUGACUGAGAGGUUGCUCGAGAGACCAGGUUCUGAGUAAUACCUUGCCUGAGGGGCCCAUUUAUGAUAGUUUCACUGAUUUCACUCUUCUCUUAAAAAUAAGCCUCUGUUGAAAAUUGCUAAGUAGAUGAUUUUAAUCAUUUCAAAUUGAAACUGAAGUUUUAUGACAAAGAUGGUUUAUAAACUGUGGAAAUUGAUCUAUUAUAUUGUUGUUUGCUCCUUUAUAUGUUUUUAACUGCUCGUCACUGCUUUUAGACCUUAUUUACUUUAGUUAAUUAUUGAGUUGGUGUACUCAUGUUACUCUCUGUACCUUCUGUGCAAAUCCAGGUGCCCGAGCAGCAGAGUGAGGGUCCUCAGAUUAUCCAAAGGUUGCCGGAGAUUACAAGGUAGUUGCAUGGCUUCUGCAACCCUACUUUUCUCCUUCCUAUCUUGUUCCUUUCCUGUAUUAUUUAUCUUAUGAUGUAUUAGACAAUCGGUUAUGUAUUUAGAGGCUCUAUACUUGUGACACUAGAUUUUUGGGUUGUUUUAUCAUAUGUUUUAUUGACUUCCCGAUAUUUUAAUUGUUUUAAACACUUCUUAUGAAAAUUGUGUAGUAAUGUGAUAGGUGCCAUCAUGAUCAGGUACUUGGGGUCAUGACAAGUUGGUAUCAGAGCUUAGGUUACAUAGGUCUCGUGAGUCAUGAGCCGGUUUAGUAGAGUCUCGCAGAUCGGUACGGAGACGUCUGUACUUAUCCUUGGGAGGAUGUAGAACCUUUAGGAAAAACUUCAUAUUCUUGAAAUUCUUGUCGUGCGAAUCUAUUGACCCGAGUACUGAACUUCUGUUAUUCCAUUCUCUAAUAGAUGGUGAGGGCAUAUGCUAAUGGGCAGGAUGGACGACCACCAGUACCGCCAACUGUGGCCAGUAGAGGCCAGGGGCUCAAUCAAAGUCGAGGUAGGGGCAGAGCAGCUAGAGCAGCACCUACUGUUCCACCAGCUGCCCCAGUAUCAGGUCUUAGUUGUGGAUGCAGAGCUCAGGCACCAGCCAUGCCUAUUGUGAUUCCAGGACUUCAGGAGGCUUUAGCUUAGAUUUUAUCAGUGUGUACCAGUUUGGCUCAGGCGGUCUCAGUUACUACGGUCUCAUCUACUUCUUAGUCCAGAGGAGGCACCUAGACUCCCGUUGCUCACCCACCUGAGCAGGUUAUGCAGGGACUUCAAACACUGGGGUCACCUCCAGCUCAGCCAGUUGCACCAGCUCAGGAGUAUGUGGUACCUGUUAUGCCGGACGACGAGUAGCGUCGACUAAAGAGGUUUUGCAGACUUCAGCCUCUGACUUUCAGUGCUGCAGAGGGUGAGGAUGCCUAGGGUUUCUUGGACAAGUGCUGAAGGGUUCUUUGUACAGAGGGAAUUCUAGAGACAAGUGGUGUAGCAUUCACUACCUUUCAAUUUUCUGGGGCUUCCUUCACUUGGUGGGAGGCGUAUGAGAAGCAUAGGCCUGUUGGUGCAGUGCCCCUUACCUAGCAGCAGUUCUAUGUUCUCUUUCAAGAAAAGAAUGGGACAUAGUCUCACCGAAAGGAUCUGCGUAGGCAGUUCGAGCAGUUGCAUCAGGGAGAUAUAAUGGAGAUGCAGUAUGGGAUGUGUUUCUCUAAGUUAGCUCGCCAUGCGAUCUGGUUGGUUCCCACAGAUCGAGAGAGGAUAAGGAGGUUUAUUGAUGUCCUCACAUAUCAGCUUUGGAUUCUCAUGACUAAGAAGAGGGUGAUAGGUACUACUUUCGAGGAGGUUGUUGACAUCGCCCGUGAGAAUGAGUCGAUUUGCCGCCAGGAGCGAGAGGAGAGGGAAGCGAUGAGGCCUCGGGGAUCUGGUAGCUUUAGUAGUGCUCCUUUGAGGUGUCAGUUCCAGCAGGGCAAAGGUUGUCUAUUCAGGCAGGCUCAGUCAGCUCUCCUAGGUUAUAAUGGGGCAUCAUCGAGUCAUGGAUCUCACAGUUCUCAUCAUGGCCAUUCAUCACUCAAUUCCCUUCUAACCCAGAGUUAGUCCCAAACUCUAUCAGUUUAGGGUUCUUCCAUUCCAGGUACUUCUACAAGUCAGUUCGGUGAUAGACGUUCGCUUUAGUCCCCAUCUCCUACACUGGGGAGUUAUUAUGAGUGUGGAAAGUUUGGGAAUAUGAGGAGGUAGUGUCCUUAUUUUCAUGAUGGUCUAUAACAGAGGCGUCAUCCCUUGUCUUCAGCUCCGGUUACUUUACCGCCCACCCACCUGGCUAGGGGUGGAGGUCAGUCAUCUAGGGGUCGCCCUAGAAUGGAAGGUCGAUCAGUUGGUGGUCAGGCUGGUUUCUAUGCCCUCCCAAGAAGACCUGAUAUUGCUGCUUUAGAUGGCAUAAUUUAGGUAUUAUUUCAGUCUACCACAGAGAUAACUCUAUAUUAUUUGAUCCCAGUUCCACAUUUUCCUAUAUGUCAUCAUACUUUGCCUGUUAUUGUAUACACCCCGUGAGUCUCUUGUUUCACCUAUUCAUGUAUCUACUCCGAUAGGCGAUACAGUUAUUAUAGAUUCAUGUACCAGUCGUGUGUGGUGACUAUUGGGGGUCUAGAGACCCGAGUGGAUGUUUUAUUAUUGUCACACCUCCUUUCUACCGCUUACACGUGGUUACCCCGAAAGGUGACACGUGUAUAGGAGUUUUUCCAAUUAAAGUGAUAUUAUUCGAGAUGGGAUUAAUUAUUUAUUUCAAGAGUCACCACUUGGGACAAAUUUGGCUUUUGGCAUCCCAAGUCACCGGUUUAUUUGAAAUCCCAAAUUGAGGAAAUUUUGACUACCCAAUUGGAGUCUGCAAACCAGAAAUUCUUGAGUAAGUAAUUAUGUUGACCCGAUGGAAGGUGUUAGGCACCCUCGGAUCUCGUGGUUCUAGCACGAUCGCUAAAACUCAUUAUAAGUGGCUAAAAUGUGAUUUGCUACACCAGUUAAGUCGUAAUUUUAGAUUAUUAACCACUUUUAACAUGUGUUAGGAAAAUUUUCAAUGUUAUUAAAACACGUCGCGAAUCGCAUCACAUAAAUGCACCCGCAAUUUGAGACAUAUUUUAAUUCCAUUGAGGAUAGGAUUCGGGUCACAUAAAUGCGCACCCGAAUUUAGGAAGGUCUUUUUAUUAAACACGCGCGCCUAUAGCAACUACGUCUUCAAGAUUUGUGGGAAGGCCGUGAAAUUCGCUAAACGGCACUUCCUAUUUUUCUAUGUGUUUUAAUGAAUUAAGGAUCCAUCGCAUGACAAUUGAUGGGAUUAACGCAGCUCCCCUUUAUUUUUAAGACGUCCUAUUGUAUACUAAAUUUUCUACUAUAACUGGUGUUUAGAUGUAGUAAUUAUUUAUGCAUGACCUGUGUAUUUGAGGAAACAAUACAUGCCUCUUAGUCUCAUUCAUGGCUAGUUGCACAUAUUGGACUCAAAUUUGAGCUGUCCCAGAACACACAUUGUGUCUAGCCAUUGCUGGGCCUCUCAACUGGGCAUGGGGUUAACCUGGACAGGGAGUCCAUAUGAACAAGUUUUGAUAACGCUUUUCGAUUCAAAUUUAUACACAAGGUUGACUAUCUAAACAUUUAUGCAGAGGAUGCUAAUGAUCAAAUUAUAUCCAUUUUUAGCACUAGAUUAGGACUAACUGACUCAUAUACUCGUCAGUCGGAGUAUACAAGUCCAAUUUUCACCAUACAAUCAUGACUCUGAUUACAACUUAUAAACCUGAAGUAAAACACUACUAACAUAUUACAAUUUGAGUGAACUACCCCAUACACAAUGAUUGGAUUUAAAUAAUUUCUAAGCUAAUAUUUUCUGAUUUCCUUAUUUCUUAAACAAACGUGAAAUGAUUAUCUAGAACAGCCAUACAUUAACUACCAGCACUGUUGGUUGUUCAUACUUAAAAUAAUUCGAAUGUCCAAUUAUUACAAAUAAAUCAGUCUCUAGAGUCCAAUUAUUACAAGAAAUGAACCAGUCUAACGUCCUCGAGCUUCAAAACAUUAAGGAACAUUGAAGGUACCUGUAAUUCAGCAUAGGAAACAAAAGACUAUGAGUAAAUAUAAUAGACCGGCUAAGCAAUCAACAGCCAAAUACACCGUGCAUCCAGGACUUCAGCAGAGUUUUCAGAGAAUUAAAUCUUCAUAAAAUGAUUCAAACAGCACUAAUUGUAUUUUUGCAGAUAUAAGAGAAAACUAAUAAGUACUUCAGACAUAGUAUUCAAAGAGAAGGUUCUGGAUCCCUUAAAAAAUGCCCAGAUGGUUUCUUUUAUAGUCAAGCCUUAGGGCAUAAGAUUUUCCUCUUGUUUUUCUUUUAGUCCUUAACUCAAAUUUGCACUUUGCCUAAAUGGUCCUUCAAUUCCUGACUUGUGCCUUAAGUUUGAGUCAGGAAUUGUAUGUUAGACCUUGCUAGAAGGUUCUAAUGGAUUACUAUCAGAUUUUUUAAAGGUUCAAAUCCCUCGUAUACCCUCACUUCCUUUCCUAAAUUACCCCCCCCCCUGAAGUUUUGACCUUAGUCAUUUCCUUGACCCUAGUUUAGUUACAGUUAACCCUAGUCAAUCAAACUUGGGUCACCUUUUAAUCUUAGACUAACAGGCUCAUGAAAUUUCAGAAUCAGCCAAAAUUAUCAAGGUUCAACACAAAUGCCUUAAUAUAGACUUUCACAUCCAAACAUUAUACAGAACUAUCAAAACAAAGGACUAGAAGAAUGAAUAAAUUUAUCAACACUUAGUUUUCAGAAAUGGCUCAAUCAAAAUGCUUCAGAAAUACUUAAAAAACGAGAAGCACACAGCAAGGGGUGAGUAUUUAGUUCAGGAAUCAACUUAGGAAGCAAGUAAAGGCUACCACUGAACAAUUAAAGGUCCAACCAACAAAUCAUCCUAAACUUAAAUCAAAAAUCAUUAUGGAAAUCAAAUACUUAGGAACAUGAACGACCAAACAAACCAGAAAUCAUGGAAUAAACAAGUGAAGAUUAGAAGAUGCAGGUCAAUCGAGCCCUAAAAAUCACAUUACAAAAGAAUAAACUAGACUAGGUUUUCCAGAGUCAAGAGACCAAUGCUAGCAAGAUAUCACACUACUCAGAAGAUGAAAAGAUUUCAGAAUAUUGACAAACAACAGCACAUGACCAUAUAAACCUACUUCAGGCGAGACUAUGGACAAACAAGAAAUUAUUUAAAGAAGUUGCUCAAUCUAAAAGCUAAAUAUAAUAAGAAAAACUACUUAGGCAAAUACAUACAGAAGAAACCAAAUAAAUCAAGCAAAUAUACAAAAGAGACGAAUUACUUAGCUUCUUUAUGCAUGCUCAGUUCAGAACCUUUCAAAAGCUCCUGACCCCUUCCAUAGGGGUUUCGAACCUCCUAGGACGGUGUACAACCAAUUUUAAGAGUUCAGGAGGGGCUUUCAUAGUUCUGGGACCUCAUUGUGGUCAUAGAUUAGGAUUUAUUCAGUGGUUAAGGAUGUUUGGGACUCAUGGGUGGUAUGGUUGGGGACGUGAAAGACCAGGGAUUGCCUAGGAAGAGUUUGGGCCAUUUUCGGCGGGUUUUGAGAUUUAGGGUUAGGCUUUGAAUUGAUAUUCAAAGGGAUUCAGACAGAUUAGAGAGAGAUGACCUACACUGUUAGAACGAGGAGACUGAGGUGCUUUAGGGGUGUAUGUUUGGACAGCUUUGGAAUAGGGUUUCCGGAGAUAGGGUUUCUGACGACCUUUCUGAUAAUAUUUGAGAUGAUUGGGGGAUUCGAAAGGAGUGGGAUGCAAGACGGGGAAGGGUGCGUCCGAGUGGUUCUAUGGUGUAAAGGGAGAAGGGUUUGGAACAAGGUCGCUGGAGACGGUGGUUCCGACGUCCCUGUUUUAAAGAUUCGAGACGGAGGGGACUUGUUCGUCAGGGACUGACCACAAAACGGGGUAGGCGAGGUCGUGAUGGUUGAGUGGUGUAAAUCUGGGGAGGUUUGGUUGCCGGCCACCGUCGUGAGGCGAUUUUCAGCAACGGCAUUAGGUUGGUAAGCCGGUGGUCAUGGGGUGGUCAAUGGGUGUUGUUAGAUCGCAGAAGAUGGUACGAGGAAGGGGGUUCGGUCUCUGUUUGUAUUAGAGACAUUUGGACAUAUGUAUACAAAAAUUGGGGGAGUUCCGUGGACGUUGGAUUGAGGUGAGAUUAACGGCUGUGAUGACCUGGUCCUCAAACGGUGUCAUUUGGUUUCGUGCUGUGUGGACUGCAUCAGGGCUGGUUGUUUGGGCUGGGUAGUGUUGUUUGAAAGGCAGAAGCAGGUUGAGCCACUCAGGUCUGGCCCAAUUGUGGCCACCCUGAGUGGCUGUAUAUGUGUAUACAUAUAUAUUUUUUGUCUUUUUCUUUUAAUUUAUAUUAAUUACUAACUUUAUUUAAAAAUUAAAAAUAACAAAUAAAACUAAACCAAGUCAAAAUUAAACAAAAAUAUUUUCAAAUGCCGUAAAUACAUCUAUAUAUUUUUUGUAUUUUAAUUUGCAAACAAAUUUAUUCAAUCUUAAAACACGCAGUAAUGAACAUGCGCAUGCAAUUGAAUCCUAAAAAAAAUUAAAAACCAACAUUUUAAAGAAAAUCCUAAACGUUAAGAGUCUUGUAGGAGCUUGUUUUGACCGGGUAAAAAUCAUAUGCUCAAAAUUAUUUUGUAUGGUGGAUUUAGAUGUCAUUUUGGUCAUGGAUAGGCUAUCUCCCUGUCGUGCUAUUCUGGAUUGUAUGUUAAGACAGUCACAUUGACAAUACCAGGUGUGCCACAGAUCGAGUGGCGGGGUUUGAGUGAUUAUAUUCUUAGUAGAGUGAUCUUAUUCUUGAAGGCCCAGCGUAUGAUUGGGAAGGAAUGUCUUUCAUAUCUAACCUUUGUGAGGGACGUUAGUGCAUAGAAUCCUAGUAUUGAUUAUGUCCUAGUUGUGAGGGAUUUUCCCAAUGUGUUUCCCAUAAACCUAUCGGUUAUGCCACUGGAUAGGGAUAUUGAUUUCGGUAUUGAUUUGGUGCCGGGAACUCAGCCCAUUUCUAUUCCACCAUAUUGUAGGGCACCAGCGAAGUUGAAAGAGUUAAAGGAGCAGCUUUAGGAACACCUUGAUAAGGGGUUCAUUUGGCCUAGUGUGUUACCUUGGGGUGCGCCAGUUCUAUUUGUGAAGAAGAAUGAUAGCACUAUGAGGAUGUGCAUUGAUUAUAGUCAAAACAAAGUAACAGUUAAGAACAAGUAUCCCUUGCCCUGCAUUGAUGAUUUAUUCGACCAGCUUGAGAGAGCGAGAGUGUUCUCCAAGAUUGAUCUAUGUUUAGGUUAUCACCAGUUAAAGAUCAGGGACUAAGAUAUUCAUAAGAUAACUUUUAGGACCCGAUAUGGUCAUUAUGAGUUCUUGGUUAUGUCUUUUCUUUUGGGCUGACCAAUGCCCCACCAGCGUUCAUGCAUUUGAUGAACAGCGUGUUUUAGCUUUAUCUCGACUCGUUUGUGAUAGUCUUCGCUGAGGAUAUUCUGGUGUAUUCACGUAGUCGGGAAGAGCACGCGGGUCAUUUAAGAGUUGUGUUGCAGAGAUUGAGGGAGGAGAAUCUUUAUGCAAAAUUAUCCAAGUGUGAGUUUUGGCUCAGUUCAGUGGCUUUCUUGGGCUACGUGAUGUCCAGUGAGGGUAUUCAGGCCAAUCCGAAGAAGAUAGACACAGUUUAGAGUUGGCCCAUACCGUCCUCAACCAUAGAGAUUUGCAGCUUUCUUGGUUUGGCAGGCUAUUAUCACCGGCUUGUUCAGAGAUUCUCGUUUAUCGCAUCGCCCUUAACCAAGUUGACUCAGAAAGGUGCUUUAUUUGUAUGGUCAGAUGAGUGUGAGAAGAGCUUUUAGAAGCUCAAGACAACCUUGACCACAACUCUAGUAUUCGUUUUGCUAUCGGCUUCAGGUUCAUAUAUUGUGUAUUUUGAUUCUUCAAGAAAUGGUAUUGGUUGUGUAUUGAUGCAGAAGGGUCGAUUUAUUGCUUAUGCUUUGUGUCAGUUGAAUCCCCAUGAGAAUAACUACCCCAUUCAUGAUUUGGAGUUCACUGCCAUAGUUUAUGCAUUGAAGAGUUGGAGGCAUUACUUGUAUGGUGUGUUUUGUAAGGUGUUUACUAAUAAUCAUAGCCUCCAGCACUUGUUCAAAUGGAAGAAUCUCAAUUUGAGGUACCGGAGGUGGUUGGAGUUUGUUAAGGAUUUUGAUAUCACUAUAUUGUAUCAUCCGGGGAGUUUCAUUGUGGUGGUUGAUACUUUGAGCCGAAAGGAGGUGAGUAUGGGGAGUUUGGCAUAUAUUCCAGUUGGGGAGAGACCUCUUGUCAUUGAUGUUCAUGCCUUUGCCAAUCGGUUUGUGAGUUUAGAUAUUUCGGAGCCCAGUCAGGUAUUGGCUUGUGUGGUUUCUCGGUCUUCCUUAUAUGAUUCCAUCAUAUAUCGCCAGUAUGAUGAUCCAUAUUUGCUUGUCCUUAAGGACAGAUUUCAGCAUGAUGAUGCGAGAGAUAUGACCGUUGGUUAUGAUCGGGUGUUGAGGAUGUAGGGCCGGAUAUGUGUGCCCAAUGUGGACAGGCUUCGGGAAUUCAUUCUAGAGGAGGCCCAUAACUCGCGGUAUUCCAUUUAUCCGGGUUUCGCGAAGAUGUAUCAGGAUUUCAAGCAGCAAUAUUGGUGGAGGAGAAUGAAGAAAGACAUUGUGGGAUUUGAAGCUUGGUGUCUCAAUUGUCAGCAGGUGAUAUGAGCAUCAGAGACCAGGUGGCUUGCUUCAGCAAAUGGAUAUUCCAGAGUGGAAGUGGGAGCGGAUCACUAUGGACGUUGUAGUUUGACUUCCAUGGACUUUGAAGAAGUUCAAUACUAUUUGGGUGAUUGUGGAUCAGCUGACCAAGUCCGAUUACUUCAUUCCUAUGUAUACUACCUAUUCUUCAGAGCGAUUGGCAGAUAUCUAUAUCCGGGAGAUUGUUCAUUUGCAUGGUGUCCUAGUUUCUAUCAUUUUAGAUAGGGGUACUCAGAUUACUUUGCAGUUUUGGAGGUAUGUGCAGCAAGAGUUGGGUACUCAGGUUGAGUUAAGCACAGCUUUUCAACCUCAUACAGACGGACAGUCCGAGUACACUAUAUUCAGAUAUUGGAGGACAUGUUGCAUGCUUGUGUCAUUGAUUUCGGAGGGUUAUGGGAUCAGUUUCUACUGGUUGCAGAGUUUGCUUAUAACUACAGCAACCAAUCGAGUAUUCAGAUGGCUCCAUAUGAGGCUUUGUAUGGGAGGCAAUGUAGAUCUCUAGUUGGUUGGUUUAAGCCGGGUGAGGCUAGGCUUUUGGGGAUAGACUUGGUUCAGGAUACUUUAGAAAAGGUGAAGGUAAUUCAGGAGAGGCUUCGUACAGCGCACUCGAGGCAAAAGAGUUAUGUUGAUUUUGGAAGGUUCAGAAUGUGUCCUACAUGGUUGACGAGAAGGUUCUGUUAAAGGUUUCACCAAUGAAGGGUGUCAUGAUAUUUGAGAAGAAAGGUAAAUUGAGUCCUCAGUUCAUUGGGCCUUUUGAGGUGCUUCGGAGGAUUGGGGAAAUGGCUUAUGAACUUGCUUUUCCACCCAGCUUGUCGAGUGUGCAUCCGGUAUUUCAUGUUUCUAUGCUCCAGAAGUAUAUUGAGGAUCCAUCUCAUGUUCUGGAUUUCAGCAUGGUCCAGUUGGAUGGUAAUUUAACUUAUGAUGUGGAGCGAACAGUUAUUUUGGAGCGUCAGGUUCGAAAGUUGAGGUCAAAGGAUAUUGGUUCAGUGAAAGUGUAGUAUAGAGGUCGGCCCGUGGAGAAGGCUAUCUGGGAUACUGAGGGUGAGAUGCGGAGAAAAUAUCCUCACAUGUUUGAGGCUUCGGGUAUGUUUCUUGACUCGUUUAACGAUGAAUGUUUGUCUAAGUUGGGGAGGAUGUGACGACCCAGCCAAUCGUCUCAUGAGUUUCUGCUUCGUUUCCCCUAUUUUUGCUUCUUAUUGCUUUGUCUACUGGUUCUAUAUGUGAUUGGGUUGGCUGGCCGGGGUUCGGAAAGGAUUUGGUAAGGUUUGAGAUACUUAGUCUCUUUUGAGGAAGCUUAAGUUGGAAAAGUAAACCGGAUGUUGACAUAUGUGUUAGAGGGCUUGGAUGUGAGUUCUGAUGGUUUGAAUUGCUUGGAGAGGUGAUUUGAGACUUAAGAGCAUGAUCGGAAUGAGUUUUGAAGGUCUAGAGUAGAUUUAGGUUUGAAUUGGCAAAAUUAGAUUUUGGCAAUUUGCAAUUAAUAGGUGAGAUUUUGAUAUAGAGGUCGGAAUGGAAUCCCAAUAGUUGCAAUAAUUCCGUUGUGUCAUUUGGGAUGUGUGAGCACAAUUUCAGGUCAUUCAGAUGUGUUUUGGUUGGGUUUUUUAUCAAAAGCGUAAUUAAGAAGAUUUUGGAAUACUUAGGCUUGAAUCCGAUGCAAAUUUGGUGUUUUGAUAAUUUUUUUAGCGUUCCGAAGGUCGGAACAAGUUUGGAUGAGGAUAUGGGAUAUAUUGGUAUGUUUGGUUGAGGUCUUGGGGGCCUCAGGUGAGUUUCUGGUGGUCAAUCAAACCAUUUCAUGAUGUUUAAAAUUACAGAAAACUGUUGUGUGUUGCAAAAGAAUUAGACCUUUGCGUUCGCAAAAGGUCAGUUGAUAAAGGCUAGAAUAUAAGCCUUCGUGUUUGCAAGGAAAGCUCCGCUUGGGCUGAGUGUUUCGUCAUUGAGUUCGCGUGAAGGGGACCGCGUUCACGUAGAUUAAAGUGGUCAGCUGGCCUUGAGGUAUUUUAUUCAUCACGUUCGCAAGAAGGGUAACGCGAUCACAAAUAGUGGCCUGAGUAAAGCAUCGCGUUCAUGAUAGGAAGGUUGCGAUCGAGAAAGAGGAAAUUUUAAUCAAAGUUGAUUUGUGAUUCGCGAAUGCGAGGCCUUGACUGCGUUCGUGAAGAAGGAUUUCAGGCCUGGGCAGAAGGUUUAAAUAAUCGUCUUGUCCGCGAUUUUGGGGUUUAUUUCCUCCAUUGUUGAGCAUUUUUUGAGCCUUUUGAAGAGGAUAGAAGAUGAAUCAAGGGACUUGGAGCUAAGAUUCAUGGACUUAAAACUCGAUUCUAAUGUGAAAUCUAUCUAAUUAAUCAAUGAAUCUAAGCAUUAAAUUAAAGAACUAGGGCUUGAAAUUGGAGAGCAAGAAUUUGGGAUUUGAGGGGUCAUUGGUGGUUAGGUUUUGAUGCUUUUGGUAUGUAUGAACUCAGGGAGUGACAAGGAAUCCAUUGAGGUAAUUCUUACGGGAAUCCGAGAUGUGGGCCCGACGGUCGGGUUUCGGUAAUUUCGGGAUUUAUGUUGUAAAUUGAAUAUUUUUGCUUGGGCUUCAUUUCCUUAUCAUUUUUUGCAACCGUGAUUUUUAUUUUGGAUAGAUUCGACGCAAAUGGACACUGAUUCGAGGAGCAAGGGCGUUGUGGGCUAGAUAUUUGACCGGAUUGAGGUGAGUAAUUCUUGUAAAUAAUGUCCUAAGGGUAUUAAACCCCGAACUUGCACAUUGUUGUGCUAUAUUGAGGUGGCGCACACACUUAAUAACGAGUGUGGAGUCGUUCACUUUUGGGGAUCGUGACUUUGUUCGUCCUGAAUGACUAUUUUACCGCAUAUUUGACUGAAAUCUAUUUGCCAUCAUUAUGUUUUGGGUGGAACACAAUAUUUGGGCCUCGUGCCAACUAUUUGUACUCUUAAGAAUUUUUAUUGAUAUUUUCUCACUCUUUUGUUUUUAUACUUGAACUCAGUCAUGUUAUAUUCCACUGUUUUCAUAACUCAAUCGUGUUUACUCUGUUUUAACACUUAAGUGAUAUUUUAAAUGAUACUUUAGGCUAAGAAUCAUGUUUUACAAUUGGUUGAGUGGUUGGUGAGGAUUUUGACUAAAUAAGGCCGAGGGCCUAUGUUGUGAGGAAACACUGAUUAUAAUUAUGAGGUCGAGGGCCUGAAAUGUGUACGCCAUGAGGUCGCUAGUUGAUAUGAGGCCGAGAGCCUAGUGAUGACGCCAUAAGAUGGCUUGAUAUUAUAUUUGGGCUGUAAGGGGCCCCUCUAGGAGUCUACACACCCUCAGUGAGCGCGAGUAACCAUUGUGAUGUGAGAUCUAGCCCGAGGGGCUGGUAUUGUUAUGAGAUAUUUCCCGAGGGGCGGAUUUGUUGACCUUGUGCACGAGUGGCAAACCUUUAUGUGUUUAUCUUUGUUAUUUGUCUCUCAUUACCUGUUUAAUUGUUGGAAAGGCAUUUCAUGAAGUUUAAAAUGAACAAAAAUGACAUUAUAUAUCUUUACUAAUUCACUAUUUUUACUGGUUUUAUAACUUCAUUAUAGCAUGUAAUGUACCUUACGUGAUUUCAUACCUCUCAGUCAUUUAUUUAUGAUUAUUACUUACUGAGUUGGGGUACUCAUUUUAUUCCUUGCACUCCAUGUGCAGAUUCAGGCAUUGCUGAUCCUGCCAGCAUGAGUUGAGAGCCCUCGGCAGAAUUUGAAGUCCAUGAGGUGGUUGUUUGGCAUCCGUAGACACAUGUUUCUCCCUCUUUAACUCAUUUCUAUCUCUUUAUCAUUUGCUCUAUAAUAGUUUAGUGGUCAUUUCAUAGUUGUAGCGUAUUGUUAGAUGCUCAUGACUGGUGAUGCCCUGAUAUCGGACUGUGACGGAUUUAUCUUCUGCAACUGUGAUGUUAACUGUUCACUUUUGGAUUAAUUAUCAUGUUUUAGAAUUAAAUUCUUAUUGUUUGAUUGUUUAAAACUGUAGUGGAAAAUGUCGGCUGGCCUUGUAUUCACGAGAGGCGCCAUAACCAGGUUCGGGUAUAGGAUCGUGACAACUUUUGUCAUGAUUUUCGUAAUCAAGUAAAAAUAUUCACCAUUUUUGUCAUGGCAACCAAUUUCUUUUUUUUUUAAGCCGACUAUUUUUCUUUUUUCUAGUAUGAAGAAAAAAGCAUUAGCUACAAUUUUUUUUUAAUAAUUUUAUUGGUUUUUAAGGUUGUUAUUACUAUAGCAAGUUUUAACUUGUAGCAAAAGCUAAUGAUUAGCUACGAAAUCUUAUCAGAACAAUAAAUUUAUGGCUAUAUUAGUCUGUAAUGAAAAAUAAUUAUAGCUACGAAGCCAAUUAUUACCCUCAUUUAUUAGAACUUGAAAAAAAACAUUUGUCUUGCCAUAAUAUUUCAUUUUAAAUAACUUAUUAUGGUUAAACGGUUAUUUUUGCUACAAUAACUUUUAGUUUGUAGCAAAAGCUAACAAUUAGCUCCAAUAUUUUGUCAUAACAAUAAAUCCUUGGUGAUAUCUUUUACCUAUUGCCACAGUGUUUUAUAACUUGAAGCAUAUAUAUUUCUUUAGCUAUAAUAUUUCAUUUCAAAUAAUUUAUUGUGGCUAAAAGGUUACUAUUGCUACAAUAACUUUUAAUGCGUGGCUAAAAUAUAUGAAUUAGCUACGCAAUUUUGUUGUAGCUAUUUAGGCAAUUAUUACUAUGAUUGUUAGCAAUUAUAGCAAAAAUAAGGAAUUAGCUUUACCAAUUUAAUUUUCAUUGCUAGCAAAUUUUACGAAUUUGUAAAUAGCUAGAAAAUUUUUAUUUUUGUUGCUAUUGUUAGGUAUUAGCAAGGAUUUUUAAAUUCGUAGUUGAGAUUUCGUAGAUAUAAACACCGUAUGUUGUAGCGAUUUAAUGUGAUGAGUAAAAAAACUUUUUAAGGAUAUGUACAUAAGGGUAAUCUUGUAAACACAAAUUGAAUUCUUUCUUGAUUAUAUAAAUAGACACUUAUUUUGGAUCAAAAUUAAAAGAAAAUGGUCGCUUAUUAUGGACCGGAGGAAAUAUUAUUUUAACAAAAUUACAGAAUAAUACACUUAAGUUGACCUUGCACUAUUUUAGCCUAGUUAUAAGUUUGCAAAUGUGUAGGCAAAUAUCAAUAAGAUUUUUUUUUUUCUCAUUUCCUCUAAUUAUAACAACCUCAUUUAUUCCUACCUGCCACUAUUGUAGCUCUCUUAACAAUUUUCACUCAUAAACAUUUAAUUUAAUUAAUGAAAAAGAAUCAUAUGCAAACAAAAUAGAAAAGAAAAAUUAGUUCCCCAUUCAGUCAACACUCAUUUGUGCCUUCUUCCAUAAUCAAUACUUCUCUAUUUUUUAAAAAUAAAUUUUGUAUAUCUUUAGGUUUAUACAAGCCAAUUACAACUACGAAAUGCAAAAACAGGCGCGAAAAACCGAAAAUCCCAUCUCCUUUAAUGCUAAUAUUGUUAAAUUUCAAUUAUGAUUUUGUGAGAAAUUUGGAGUGGAUAUUAUUUGAACUUAUUAGUAAUAGUAUAAGUAGGUUGUAUAUAAAGUUUGAAGUUAUUUUCUGGAGAUUUGGACUAGUUUUAUACAAGAAUUGUAAGUGAAAAUCGUACAAAGAUUUCGUCAGAGAUGCUUAUACACUUUUAUACAAUGUUAUGCACUUUUAUAUAAAGAGGUGCAGUAUGUAUAUAGUUGUAUAAAAGUAUAUAAAUAUGUAUAAUCACAGAGUAAAGAUAUUAUUGAUAUACUAUGUAUAUAAAUGUAGAGGAAGAAGAAGAAGAAAAAAAUACCAAAUACCUAUAAAUAACGUAUCAACCUUGGAUAUAAUUAUAACGAACCAACUAGUCAUUUUAAGAAAUUACGUUCGACUCUAUAGUUUGAGGUCUCGAUCAGCUUCGUAUUAUGUGUAUCAACUUACGUGCAUGAUUGGAUUAUGUUUCCGGAUGAUUCGGAGUCAAAAUUGAAAGAAGGAAACUAAUUUUGAAAGCUUAAACGGUAAAAAUUUGACCAAAAUUGGACUUUUGAGAAAACGACCUUGGAAUGGGUCGUGGGUGAUCUCAUAGCUGCGUAUGGUGAUUUUGGAUUUAGGCGCGCGUCUAGAUUCGGUUUUGGAGGUCCAUAGGCUAAUUUUAGGCGUUUUGGCGAAUAUUGGAAAAGUUAAAAUUUGGAAAUGGAGAAGUUUGACUCAUAGUUGACUUUUAUGAUAUCGGGGUCAGAAUGCAAUUUCGAGAGUUGGAACAAUUCUGCUAUGUCAUUUUGAACUUGUCUGUAAAAUUUGGCGUCAUUCCGGGUUGAUUUGAUAAGUUUCGGCACGAGUUUUGAAAGUUGGAAGGUUUGAAAGUUCCUAAGUUCGAUUAAUGGUGUGAUUCGUCAUUUCAAAAUUUUUUUAUGUGAUUUGUGACCUCGAGCGAGUCUAUGUUAGGUAAUAUAAAUUGUUUGUGUGUUUAGACGGGGUUCUGUGGGCCUCAGGUAUGUUCCAGAUGGGCUAUGGGUCAUUUUCCCAUUUGUUUGGGCUGUUGUAUUUUGCUUCUAAUGAUCCUUCUCAGAAAUCAAAAAUAGCCUUUUGCGUUCGAUGAUGGUUGCCUCUUUUUCCUUCAUCACAUUAUUGUAGAAACUCCCGUGAUCACGAAGGUCUGCUUUCCUUUGCUUCGUGUUCGCAUCCAUUGUCCCCAUUCACGGAAGCUCCUGCCAUUGUUCAUCGCAUUUGUGUCCUUUUUUUGUGAUCGCGAAGGGUAUUCCUUGACAGCUUUGGUUCUCUUCUCUGCGAUCGUGACUAAAUCUCUGUGAUCACGAUGCAUAAAUCUCUGGGCAGAAUAAAUAGUACUUUAUUGCGACGGUUAGCCGUUUUUGGAGUUCUAAAGCUGGGUUUUGGGCGAUUCCUUGUGGGGUUUUCAAGCAAAAUGAUUGGGUAAGUGUUCGUCACCUAAAUUUGAUUAUAUUCCAUGAAUUUGUCUUUAAUUUUAUUAUUUAAUUUGGGAUUUGGGUUAAGUAAAAUGCUGGUUUAUGAAGAAAUCUCUAAAAUGAAAAAUCAUGAUUUGAGGGGCCAAAUGGUAUCGGAAUUUAAUAAAUUUUGUACAGUUGAACUCAUAUUGAAAUGGGUAUUCGGUUUUUGUAAGAUUUUUCAUGUUCUGAGGUGCGGGCCCGAGGGCAGACGUUUGAGGCAAUUUUUAGAUUUUAUUAAAGAUUGAGACUUUAUGAUCUGGAAUAGCUUCUUAUGUGUUUAAUGUGUGCUUUGAAGUUAAUUUGGUUAGAUUUGAGACGUCCAGAGGUCUUUUCACCUGAGAAGUGCAUUUUAGAGUAUUGGUUUGUCGUCUUUGAGGUAAGUAUCUUGCCUAACCUUGUGUGGGGGGCUUCACCUUCUAUGCUAAUUGUAGUCCAUGCAUGCGAGGUGAUGAGUGUGUGCUCGGACUUAUUUAUUGGAAAUUUUCCUCUAGGGUUCUUGGUUCUUUGUGUGGAAGUAUCCUCUUAUUAUUGGGUUUUCUAAUUUCUUAAAUUGCCUCUAUAUGAUCCAUAUGAAUAUUAGAUUUCCCCUCAUUCUUACGUGUUACAUUGACCCUUGAUUGUCUUAAUCGAAAUGAUUGCUUCCUUAUUGUUUUGAUACUUCUUGAUUGUGAGUUCCUCUAUAACUUCAUACAAAUAUGUUACAUGUCCAUUUAUUGUGGUUACCAGUGUGGUUAUCACGUUCUUAUUAUGUCUUGUUGUUUUAUUAAGGUUAUUGUGCUUCUUGGUUUUUCUGUGACCUUUACUAUGUACUUGUUGAUUCCUUUGCCGAGACGUUAUUGCUUAUGAUAUUGUAUUCUUUACCGGGAUAUUAUUGUUAUACUAUUGUUCCCUUGCCGGGAUGUUGUUAUUAUACUCUUGUUUCCUUUUCAGGAUUCUUUUAUGAUUGAUGAUGAUAUGAAAUGGGAGCGAUUUGCACGCCUGCAACAAAAUAUAUGAAACGGGAGUGGGAUGCACGCUUGCAACAAGAUAUAUGAAAUAGGAGUACAUUGCACGUCUGCAACAAGAUAUAUGAAAUCGGAGUGGGUUGCAUGACUCCAACAAGAUAUAUAAAAUGGGAGCAGGUUGUACGCCUACAACAAGAAAUAUGAUAUGGGAUCGGGUGGUUGCCACGGAGAUAUUUGUAAUGGGAUCGGGUUGCACACCUGCAACAAGAAAGAAUGAAAGUGAAUAUUGAUUCUUGUGGUGAGAACGAGGGUAAAAGCAUGACGGGUGAUACCAUGCACUUUUUGUUUGUUAUGUUUAUCUAUUGUUACCAAGUCAAGUAUUUUAAAUAUUCAGGUUCCUUUACCGUUGUGAUCCUUUGUAAAGGAACCCCAUCGUGUUUUCAAUACUUCGCCGUAUUUAUAUACAUAUUUUUCAAUACUUUAAAAAUCCAAUAAUUGUUUCAUCUUCAAUUUAUUUAGUUACUCAAUUAAAUUUUCUUAAACUGUCUGAGGUCGUAUUUUACUUAAAAAUGAAAUUUACUAAAUUAAUUUAUUAAAUUCCUUGUUAAAGGUAAUAGUUCAUUUGAUGUUAUACUUUAAAUAAAAAUGGUACUUUUUUAUUCAAAUAAUUUCUAAAAAUAACUUUAUUUUUCUUGCUGAGCUCCUAAUUGGUUUAGAAGAUGUACUCUAUACAUUGUUAUGUAAAUUAGACUCCUUGAACAUCUUAAUUGCAUUGGUUAUGGACCCUACGAACCAAGUAACAUGAGAAUGUUAUAGUGUAAAGUGAUAUAGAAAUAUGUGAGCACAAGGUGUCGGGUGUGCUAAAAGUUUGGUAAUUGAGGUUAUGAUAUGAGACAUCGAGUUUGAGAUGGCUGGAAAUUGUGUAUCAAAAACGAUAUGAUUUAUUGAGCUGAGAUCACCUCCCUUGUUUGAGUACAUUCUUCUUUACGUGUCUAUGUUCCAAUUAUAUUGGUGUUAAUUUAUUUGGUUAUCUUCGUUUCCACCCAUGUUUCUCUCUAUUAUUUCUAUUGAUUGUAGUUUGUUCUUUCCUUACUUUUCAUACUACUAUGUCAUUUUUAGAUUGAUAGUUUAUUAUCAAAUCCUGUUCAAUUUAUUUGACCAGUAGGUGUCUAGACUGUUCCUCGUCACUACCCCACUAAGGCUAGUCUUGAUACUUACUGGGCAUCGUCGUGGUGUGCUCAUACUACACUUUUGUAUAUUUUUUGUGUACAUAUCCAGGUAUUCGAUCAGUAGUAGUUGUGCGGGUCAUUGUGGUGGAGACUAGAGGUAAAUCUGCUACAUCGUUCACAGGCCUCGGAGUCACCUUCUUUUGUACCUGUUUCCAUUCGUUCCUUUUAUUUCGAAGCAAUGAUGUAUUUAUUUUGUAUAACCAUUCCUACAAAGGCUUGUGACUUUUACCAUCAGUUUUGAGAAUUGUAAAUUGUUAUUAUUUUAAUUAAAGUUAGCAAAUAUAAAUAUUAUCUCAGUUAAUGUUAGGCUUGCCUAGUUUAGGGACUAGGUGCCAUCACGGAUCCUUCAGAGGGAUUUUGGGUCGUGACAAUAAUAGUGCAUAAGUUGUGUUUAUGCUCUAUUAUACUCUAUUUAUACAAUAUUAUAUAUUAUUAUACAAAUGAAUCCUAUCAAUGGAGCUUCACGUGUUCUUCUUCUUCCUUGGGCAUCCUCUGAAAUUUAACUUAACUAUAGACUAAAUCUACUCCAAAUCACUUGAAAUUGAAGUUUUGAACUCAUCUUGAUGAUUCCAAUCAAUUGAGACAACAUCCAUUUCAAACAACUAACAAAUCGGAAAACUCAAUUUCUGAAAUUUAACUCAAAUAUAGCCUAAAUCUACUCCAGAUCAUGUGAAAUUUACGUUUUGAACUCAUCUUGAUGAUUCCAAUCAAUUGAAACAACUCCAAACAACUAACAAAUCGAAAAAAUUAAUUCUGAAAUCGAAUCUUCGAAACACUUGUAAUAGUGACUUUUAUUUUUCAAAUUCUUAGUUAACCAUUGAAAUCCGAAAAAGAAUUGAAGGAGAAUAACAAUAGUAGAGAAAUUUUGUGGUACAAAGGCUGACAUGGGAAGGAGAAAAAGAACGAUGAAAUAAGGGGUGUGCUAACUAGUGAAAAUUAAUUUUCAAAUUAUGUACAACCUGGGCAAACAACUAAUAAAUUGGAAAACUUAAUUUCUGAAAUUUAACUCAAAUAUAGCCUAAAUAUUCUCCAAAUCAUUUGAAAUUUAUGUUUUGAACUCAUCUUGAUGAUUCCAAUCAAUUGAAACAACACUUAUUCCAAACAACCAACAAAUCGAAAAACUCAAUUUCUGAAAUCAAAUCUUCGGACCACUUGUAAUGGUGACUUUCAUUUUUCAAAUCCUUGGUUAACCAUUAAAAUUCGGAAAAGAAUUUGUUUACCGUGAAAAUGAUAACAACAUUCAGAUUUGUAAAUGGGAUUCUAAAAUACGUGAUCUAUUCCCGAGCUAGUUGUCAGAGAAGUUGUUGCUAAUAAUAUUAAGUUUAAUGAUAAAGUGCGAGCUAAAAUGAGACAGUAAUCAAACUGAAGAGCCUCAUGCCCGAUCGUAGGGGUGAUCGAUGGGGACCUCGGGGUCUAGGUUCGGGUCGAGAUCGAGGAAUCGGGGACAUUCAAGAACGGUAUAAAAAUAAAGGAUACGGUUAAGCAACGCUCUAUACGGCCAAUAUUGAGAAAGAUAGUGAAGAACAAGUAAGAGGGCAAUAAAUAUUGAAGCAGCCUCGGGCCAGUAAGAACAAACGAGUUAGAAAGAAAAGAGAGAGAGAGAGAGAGAGAUUAUUUCACUUGUGGAGAAAUAAAGCAACCUCAGUCCCUUACAAGUUAGGGUGAGUCCCCUUUAUAUAGGAGAGGGGACCCAGUUACAAGUAUGUGGAGAUCAAUCGCAAAGUAUGGAGAUGGGAUGAUUUGAUGUGAUGCCUCAACAUAUGCUCUGGAUAGGCUGGCCUUGUCAGACUUAGUCGUGUGCCUUGGGAGCUUCCCCCACUUUCCUAGCUUCGGUCUCCAUUUCUUCUAAAUCGAGCUUCGACAAACCCCAAGGUCGGGAACUCGGUUGCAGCCUCCUGACCUCAGGGUCCUGAGACAUGCUUAUUGACUCUAAGCUCUUGCACCUUGGUGUCAAUUGCCAGUGAUGCUCGUUGCAUGGCUACAUUCCUCAAAAUGCAAAAACUACUAAUUCAGCUUUAGGAAGUCCAAUUUGAAUUAUGUGAGUUGUGACAUAUGAGCUAAGAUUGAUUUGAUUCUAUCUUCUAUGUUCUGGUUCAUCUAUGGGCUAUGGCCCACCCAAUUUGAAUCGGCCCAAGCUUUCAUGAUUGUGCUGGAUCUUCAUGUCUAAACUCUUGCACCUUCGCUUCAAUUGUCAAAAUGAUGCUCGUUGCAUGGCUACAUUCCUCAAAGUGCAAAAACUACUAUUUCAGCUUUAGGAAGUCCAAUUUGAAUUAUGUGAGUUGUGACAUACGAGCUAAGAUUGAUUUGAUUCUAUCUUCUAUGUUCUGGCUUUUCAAACUUUUAGCCUACGCUAGAAAUUUUUUAUAUUCAGUAGUCGAAAAAGAAUAUAAAAAUUUAUAUAUUUUAUUUAUAUGCGUAUAUGUAUACAAAAAAUAUAUAAUUUUUUUGCUAUUAUUUUGAGAGUGGUUAUACAUUGUCAUUUUUCCUAAUUAAUUCAUAAGAAAACUACUUUCCUUCAUGUUUCACAUUGGUUCAAAAGGUCAGUUCAGAUUUUAUAAUUUAUGGGUUCAAUUUUAUUUUUUUACUGUUAAAUUCAUCGCACUUUUGAAAUAAUGAAAUAAAACUUUUUUUAAAAUUAAUAAAUUUUCACACACACAUACACACAUAUAUAAAAUAAUGGUUCAAGGUGAACCUAUUCAUUUCACAUUGCAUUUGCCGUUGCAUUGCUUCUCAUAAUCAUGCAGUAUAUCGAUAUAUAUUAUGGUUAUUGUUUGACUCAAAAGAUUUUAAACUCUUUUUAAGCAAAUCAAUGAAAGAUAAAGCGGUAAAUCGUAGUUAAACCUAAUUAAUACUGGAUCGAAAGAUUGAAUAACAACAAUUGCAUAAUAGACUAAUAUAGUAUCAAAAAUCUUAUUAGAAUUGAACACUAUCUUUCCUCUCUAUAGAGAGGGAAGAAGAAUUACAAUUGAUGUGCCCUUUCGGGAAGAAGGAUUAUAAUUGCUUUGCCUUUUUGGGGCAUAAGAAUGGAGCUCUUCUCAUCUCUCUGUUCUCCAAAAUCCUCCCUCCUCGGAGUGGAGUUUUAUUCUUCUCCUUAUUCUAUCUGGAGAAAGGAGUCGCCCCCUUCGGAGUUUCCUUUUACUUGUAUAUAUAGUCGAAAAACCUCUUACCCUUGCCACGACUUGGCAUGUCUGGGCCAGCAGAGCUUCCUGGUCGUGAAAGGCGUUGCUUUUGCCGUUGUGUCGAACAUCUUAAAGGAUGGAUGAGGUUAAUUUCAUUGACUUCCUCUACCCGGUGGCAAGAAUGGGGUCGUGGUAGUCAGAUUUUGACCAAUACCUCCGUUCGUCGGGGUUGUGCCUCGUCGAGAUCGACGGACGGAACACGUGUGCGACGUAGUCAAGAGGAAACAGACCCUUCAUUUUGUUCUUUAAUUGCGCUCUAAGUAUUUUGGAUGGCCUGAAACGUUUUGUAUCUCGUUGGAUUCGAAUGGCGACUCUUGGGUUUCGAGCUCAGGGAAUUUACGUCUCUUAUAAAUAAGGAAACUUUGUCAUCUGCUUAUCAUACUUCAUCGUUCUUUUUGAGAGAAUUCUCCGGAUAUCUCUUUUUCUGAUAUCUCGAGUUCAUGUUUGUUUUCCUGCUUAUUGCAACCCCUAAUCUUUUCACUUCUUCCGAAAAGUUUUCCUUUUUUGCUAAGAAUAGCCGGCGAUUCUUCUUGUGACAAUCUUCCUGCCGCAAUUCCAGUAAAUGAAAACCCUAUUCAGGCCAUCGAAGAAGUGGAUGUAGUGGAGGAUGAGGAGGUUCUCUCGGUGGAUGAAAUCCUGCCACUCCCAAGAAGGGAUGCGACUGACUUUAGAAUCGGUGGUGAAGCAGAGCCGGAAAACAUUGCUCCCAUUAUAAGAGAGAGAGGGAUCGUGGAGUUGAGGGAACAAUGGGGAAUCCCUAGUUUCAUCGAGAUACAACCGGCAACGAGGAACGACCGGGUUCUAUUCGAUCAUCCUGGAUUUUGCAUGUUCUAUGCCUACCCCUUCAAUGUAGGGUAGACUCUCCCACUUCCAAUGCUAGUUAUGGAUUUCUGCCUCUACUAUGAAGUGUGCCCUGCUAUGCUUUCCCCUUAUUUAUUCAAGUCGUUUCUCAUACUACUCAAAUACGCGGAGCUCGCCGGUCGUGGGGUCACUUUGGACCAUGUGCUUAGCCAUUUUGUUCUAGCUAUUCGUGACCAUUGCAAGACGGAUGCUCGCCAGGCAAGUACCGGUUAUCCUUCUCCUUUUUGGUGAAGUCAUUUGGCCUAAAAAGGGUAUUUAUUCGAACUUAUCGAAAUAAUGGUCGUCGUGGUUUGAACGAGGUCGAACCUUUUUUUCCAUUUCUGAUGGCGAAGGCCCUUGGCAUUAAGGGUGUUAUUUCGAACUUAUCGAAAUAACAAUCCAUCUGAGUUCGAAUGAGAUCAAACCUCUUUUCUUCUUUGAUGGCGGAGGACCUUGUCCUUAAGAGUGUUAUUUCGAACUUAUCAAACUAACAGCCCAUCUGAGUUCGAACGAGGUCAGACCUCUCUUUUUUUCUUUGAUGGCGAAGGCCCUUGGCCUUAAGGGUGUUAUUUCGAACUUAUCAAAAUAACAGCCCUUCUGAGUUUGAACGAGGUCGAACCUCACUUUUUCUUUGAUGGAGAAGGCCCUUGUCCUUAAGGGUGUUAUUUCGAACUUAUCCAAAUAACAACCCAUCUGAGUUCGAACGAGGUCGAACCUCUCUUUUUCUUUGAAAGCGAAGGCCCUUGGCCUUAAGGGUAUUAUUGAACUUAUCAAAAUAAUAGCCUAUCUGGGUUCGAACGAGGUCGAACCUAUAUUUUUCUUUGAUGGCGAAGGCCCUUGGCCUUAAGGGUGUAAUUUCAAACUUAUCAAAAUAACAGCCCAUUUGAGUUCGAACGAGGUCGAACCUCUCUUUUUCUUUGAUGGCGAAGGCCCAUGGCCUUAAGGGUGUUAUUUCAAACUUAUCAAAAUACAGCCCGUCCGAGUUCGAACCUCUCUUUUUCGUUGAUGGCGAAGGCCCUUGGCCUUACGGGUGUUAUUUUGAACUUACUGAAAUAACAGCCCAUCUGAGUUGGAACGAGGUAGAACCUCUCUUUUUUUGAUGGCAAAGGCCCUUGGCUUUAAGGGUUUUAUUUCGAACUUAUCAAAAUAAAAGCCCCUCCAAGUUCGAACGAGGUUGAACCUCUCUUUUUCUCUGAUGGUAAAGGCCCUUGGCCUUAAGGGUGUUAUUUCGAACUUAUCAAAAUAAUAGUCAUCUGAGUUUGAACGAGGUCGAACCUCUCUUUUUAUUUGUUGGCGAAGGCCCUUGGCCUUAUGGGUAAUAUUUUGAACUUAUCGAAAUAACAGCCCGUCUGAGUUUGAACGAGGCCGAACUUUUCUUUUUCUUUGAUGGCGAAGCCCCUUGGCCUUAAGGGUGUUAUUUCAAACUUAUUGAAAUAACAGCCUAUCUGAGUACGAACGAGGUUGAACCUCUCUUUUUCUUUGAUGGCGAAGGCUCUUGGCCUUAAGGGUGUUAUUUCAAACUUAUCGAAAUAACAGCCCGUCUGAGUUCGAACAAGGUCAAACCUUUUUUUUUCUUUGAUGGCAAAUGCUCUUGGCGUUAAGGGUGUUAUUUCAAACUUAUCGAAAUAACAGCUCGACUGAGUUCGAACGAGAUCGAAUCUCUCUUUUUCUUUGAUGGCGAAGGCUCUUGGCCUUAAGGGUGUUGUUAAAUUUAUCGAAAUAACAGCCCCUCUGAGUUCGAACAAGGUCGAACUUUUCUUCUUCUUUGAUAGCAGAGUCCCUUGGCCUUAAAGGGUGUUCCCCAGGGAUUCCUACUUUGCUUAAUUUUGCUUGCAUUAGAGAAUAUGAUGCAUUUCCUGGGGGAGUCCUAAUUUAUUUAAUUUUGCUCGCAUCAGGUGGCUCAACACUGUGGACACGAGGUGCCAAUAUUUCACAUAGGCUCGUGUUGUAGUUUCCUGUAUGACUUGGGUUGUUCGGCUCGAAGAUGCUGCCGGCCGGGAGGGUUUUCCCUGUGCCGUAAUGAUCUUUGGUUUCUCAAUUUAGGUACACAUGCGCUCGUUUGCUCGCGUGGAUUUUACGUACCCGAUUUCACGAAGUAUAGGGGGUGAGGAUGAGAUGUUCUUGCCUCUGCCCGGUGGUCUUGAGAAAAGGGGAGAAGAUGGAUUGCAGCACCUUUCGCCUUGUCCGAGAUAUUCGAAGCCGAUAGAGCAGGGAAUUCCAGACCACACAAAUCCGUUUGGUUUCUUUUGCCUCAGCGUGCUGUCUCCAUAUCUUGCAUGAGUUGGGUUCUUUUCUCGUGUUUCUUAGCUUCGAUCUAGGAAAAACUAGGAAUUUUCACUAGGAAAUACCCACAGACGGCGCCAAAUUGUUUGACUCAAAAGAUUUUAAACUCUUUUUAAGCAAAUCAAUCGAAGAUGAAAGGGUAAAUUGUAGUCAAACCUAAUUAAUACCGGAUCGAAAGAUUGAAUAACAACAAUUGCAAAAUAGACGAAUAGAGUAUCAAAGAUCUUAUUAGAAUUGAACAUUGUCUUUCCUCUCUGUAGAGAGGGAAGAAGAAUUACAAUUGUUGUGACCUUUCGGGAAGAAGGAUUAUAAAUGCUUUGCCCUUUCUGGGUUAGGGGUGUAUUCUGGGCCGGGCCUAAACGGGCCAAACGGUCCCCGGCUUUGGCGGUCCCGGGCCAAACAGUCCCCGGCUUUGGCGGUCCCGGGCCAAACGGUCCCUGGCUUUAUAGUCCCAAUGGGUGGAACCGGCCCUUCAUGGGCCUAAGCCCACAUCGUUCCGGGCUUAAUGGGUCGGGCCCACGAGUUUAACGGGUUUUUUUCAUUUCGUACUAUUUUUCUAAAAAAAAAAUUCUAAGGUAAUUUCUUGUAAAGUAUAUAUGUAUAUACUAAUAUAAAUUGCUUAUAUAUAGUUAUAUAAAUAUAUAUAAUAUAUAUAGUAUGUAUAAUAUGUAUAUAUAAGGGUGUAUUGUGGGUAUAUAUAAUUAUAUAUUACCUUAUAAAUAAAUAUGUAUGUAUAUAUAUAUANNNNNNNNNNNNNNNNNNNNNNNNNNNNNNNNNNNNNNNNNNNNNNNNNNNNNNNNNNNNNNNNNNNNNNNNNNNNNNNNNNNNNNNNNNNNNNNNNNNNNNNNNNNNNNNNNNNNNNNNNNNNNNNNNNNNNNNNNNNNNNNNNNNNNNNNNNNNNNNNNNNNNNNNNNNNNNNNNNNNNNNNNNNNNNNNNNNNNNNNNNNNNNNNNNNNNNNNNNNNNNNNNNNNNNNNNNNNNNNNNNNNNNNNNNNNNNNNNNNNNNNNNNNNNNNNNNNNNNNNNNNNNNNNNNNNNNNNNNNNNNNNNNNNNNNNNNNNNNNNNNNNNNNNNNNNNNNNNNNNNNNNNNNNNNNNNNNNNNNNNNNNNNNNNNNNNNNNNNNNNNNNNNNNNNNNNNNNNNNNNNNNNNNNNNNNNNNNNNNNNNNNNNNNNNNNNNNNNNNNNNNNNNNNNNNNNNNNNNNNNNNNNNNNNNNNNNNNNNNNNNNNNNNNNNNNNNNNNNNNNNNNNNNNNNNNNNNNNNNNNNNNNNNNNNNNNNNNNNNNNNNNNNNNNNNNNNNNNNNNNNNNNNNNNNNNNNNNNNNNNNNNNNNNNNNNNNNNNNNNNNNNNNNNNNNNNNNNNNNNNNNNNNNNNNNNNNNNNNNNNNNNNNNNNNNNNNNNNNNNNNNNNNNNNNNNNNNNNNNNNNNNNNNNNNNNNNNNNNNNNNNNNNNNNNNNNNNNNNNNNNNNNNNNNNNNNNNNNNNNNNNNNNNNNNNNNNNNNNNNNNNNNNNNNNNNNNNNNNNNNNNNNNNNNNNNNNNNNNNNNNNNNNNNNNNNNNNNNNNNNNNNNNNNNNNNNNNNNNNNNNNNNNNNNNNNNNNNNNNNNNNNNNNNNNNNNNUGUGUGUGUGUGAGUGUGUGUGUGUGUGUGUGUGUUAUAGUAUAUAUAGUUUAUAUACUAUAUAUAGUUUAUGUAGUAUGUAUAUAUAUAGUGUAUAUAUAUAUAUGUGUAUGUAUAUGUGUGUGUGUGUAUGUGUGUGUGUUAUAGUAUAUAUUGUUUAUAUAGUAUAUAGAGUUUAAUGUAUAGUACGUAUACUAUGUUAUAUAUAUUUCCUAAUAUAAUUUCUUGUAAAGAUAUUAUAGCUUACAUAGAAUUGUAAGUUAAAUCUUCUAAAGAAUAAAAUUUAAACACACAAAAAAAUUGCAAAGAGAUAUUCAAAGAAAUGUCUUAUAAUUUUUAUUAUUACGACAUGAACAAAAAAUAACAAUAUCUUUUGUAGUCUUCCUCCCCCUAAUAGAAUGAGUACAACAAGGUACUAAGGAAGAUGUGACAAAGUACAAUUUAUAUAUUAGUCUAUGUAUUAACUUUAACAAAUCUCAUAAAUCCUUCAAGGUUCGGAGGAAUUUCCUUUGGUCGUAGUGGAAAAGAGGCUUGUUCAUCACCUCUUUCAGGCGAAGCAGCAUCCUCCACAAGUUCCGCUAGCAUUUCUUCAUAAGCUUCGUCUAUCUUCGGUUGUGAUCCUACAUGUCCAAAAUUUCUUAUUUCUGAAGGGAUCCAAUCUUUGAAGAGUACCGAUUUUUCCAAGCUCUCCCUCAUAGACGCUCUAUAAUCACCAAUUUGAAGUCUCGCUUGACUGAAAGCGCUCUCGGAUGCUACUCUUGAAGCUUGAACACUUAAAUAUCUCGAGUCAUACUUGAAAGAACCGGAUAUUAUUUUUAUUUGUCCUUCCACCAUUCCAAAAGAUCAAAGGUGCUGUCUGGAUUCUCCGUUUCAAGGCCCUGCGACAAAUAAACUUGAAGCUCUAGUUCGAAUUAUCACCAAAAUUAUCAACUUGAGAAUCCCUGAACUCUGUCCAAGAACGAAGGGAUUUUAGGCCCGCAGUUCUUAGAUGAUUGUGAACUAGACGAAGUAGGAGUUGGAUCUAGCAUGAUCUACAGCAACUUGAUAAGCAUUAUAAAUUGUUUAAGCAUUUAUUUUAAUUGAGGCUUUUGCAUCCCCAAGUGUAGCAAAUUCCCCAGGUGAAAGUGGUAAAGCGUUAUAAAUUUUUGAAUACCAAAAGUGAGGACCUCCUAAUUUCAUUGUCGGAUUUAACACUACAGCAACACCAAAAAUAGGGGGAAUAGGAAAAAAUAUUUUUUAAACUUAGCUUUCAUAGAAUUAAUAGCUUCUUGAUAAAUAUCUCCACCCUCUGAAAGUGCUGUAAAUAAAUCUAGAAGUGCUGCAAUAUAAACUAAACAGUUAGAAAUAGUAGGAUAAUAUUAGUCAGAUAAUUCGUUUGUAGCAAUAUGAAAUUGUUCUAAAAAGUCUACAUGCAUUUUGACAUUAAUCCAAUAUUGAUUCAUCAUCAUCAUCAUCACCAUAACCUACAUGAGAAUUAUAUGUUGCGCUUAUUGGGUUCCUAUAUUCAUAUGCAACAACUAAACUUUCAUACAUGUAGUUCUAUCUAGUGGGACAAGGAUUAGGAACCUUUCUUUCUCUAAGGUCAAAUUCAUCACAUUUUUAAAAUAUUCUCUAAGCCUACUUCUACGGUUUGAAUAAAACAACCAAUUAAGAGCCAUUUAACCUUUUCAAUUUCUACAUAUAAAACUUCCAUACCAGCACCGACGCUUAAAUGGUAAAUAUGACCCGGUACAAUAUCAUAACAAAAUUGACUAUCGGGAAAUUGAAAACAAGGGUUAUCACUAUCAAGAAUAACAGGUGGAGGAGGACAAGUAACAUGUCUGGGUCGGGGAGCUGGGGGAAGAGUAGUAUCUUGGAGAUUAGAUUCACCAAUUUUAGCUUUCCCUUACCACCUAACAUUUUUUCAAAGAAAAUACCAUAUUAAUUAUAAUUUCGGGAGAAGAGUAGUAUCUUGGCAACUAGAUUCACCAAUUUUAGAUUUUUCCUUACCAUCAAACAUUUUUUUCAAAGAAAGUGUCAUAUUAAUUAUAAUUAUACAAGUUCAAAAAAACAAAAUUAUAAUAUUAAACUUAAGAGUUGGAACGAGUUUACUGAAUUGACGAACAACUUCUUGAAAAUUGAAUAUCGUUGAAGAUUUGAAUACUUCAAUUCACCAACUUCACAGGUUUUUACGAAAUUGCAAUAAUAAAGUAAGAAAUUAUAGAAGAAAAUUAGAAAGAGACUGAUGAAUUUGUGAGUAAAAAUAAAAGAACGAUGAGAUAUUUAUAGUUGAGAAUAUGAAAAAAGUGUAAUUAUAUAAAGUUUGGAGCUAAAACAAAGUUUGGGGGCCAAAUGACUAUUUUUGAAAGUGACAAACGACUAAAAAUGAAGGCAAAUUGCUACAUUUUAAAAUUGUGACUGUUGGCCUUUUUUAAAUAGGUCCAGGCCCGCUUGUCGGUCCCGGAUUCGCGGGCUUUUUGAUAAAGACCUGCACACUGUGGGUUUUUUGCACCACUAGAGAUCAGCCCGUUGAACCGGUAUGUUUAAACUUUUUCUUCUAAAAAUAGCCAUUAGGACCGCUCGCGCCCGUUAGGCCCGAUUGAACCGGCCCAAGCCCGCUUGUCAGUCCCGGGCUCGUGGGCUUCAUGGAUAGGACCAGCCCAUCGCGGGCUUAGUGCACCAUUUGGGACCGGCCCAGUGAGACCGUCCCGUUAGGCCUGCGGUUACGGGCUGGGGCCGGCCCACAAUGCACCAUUAUUCUGGGUACAAGAAUGGAGCUCUUCUCCUCUCUCUUUUCUCCAAAAUCCUCCCUCCUCGAGAUGGAGUUUUAUUCUUCUCUUUAUUCUAUGAAAGGGCCCGGAGAAAGGAGCCGCCCCCUUUGGAGUUUCCUUUUGCUUGUAUAUAUAGUUGAAAAACCCUAUUAUCCUUGUCACGACUUAGCGUGUCUGGGUCAGCAGAAGUCAGCGGAGUUUCUUGGUUGUGAAAGGCGUUGCUUUCAUUGUUGUGUUGAAUGUCUUAAAGGAGGUAAUAACUUUAUUGACUUUCUCUACUCGGUGGCAAGAAUAAGAUCGUGGCCACUUUAAUCGUGAUGGUCAGAUUUUGACUAAUACAGUCAGUUAUACUAUUUAAAAGUUGUGGCUGGUUUUCAAUCUGAAUUUGGUGGUUUGUUGUUUAUAAGGGAUUUUUCAAUGAGCUUAAGAUCAGAGAAAGUAAGGAAAUGCUUUGGCUGAUACAAGAAUUAGGGGAAUUUGUAUAUAAAAUGAGCUUAUCUAGAUUGUCAAAUCAAUCAAACAACCAAAUUAGAGAAUAUAGUAAAAUCUUUUAUUUGGUUUUGGUGAGUCACAUAUCAGUAGCAAUUUUAGAAAAGAUUCUUCAUCGAUUUUGUGUUUAUUCAUUACACCUCAAUUAUAUCAUCAAAAGCUACAUAAUUAUCAAACUCUCACCAAAUUAAUUUAUAAUAUCCCAACUCAUUUUGCAGUUACUAUGAAUAUUUGUUUGUUGUUUUUGUUUUUGUUGUUUUUUACUUCACUGAGCCUAGGGUCGAUUGGAAACAGUCUCUCUCCCUUUCGGGUAGGGGUAAGGCCCGUCUACAUAUUACCCUCCCCAGACCCCGUUUUGUGGGAAUAUACUGGGUAGUUGUUGUUGUUGUUGUAUGAAUAUUUGUCAAAUUUUAAAAAUAUAAAAAUAGAAAUCUUUGUCAAAUUUACUUGAAAAUGGCGCUAAUGUUACUAUUUAAUUUACCAACGGUUAGCUGCUAGUGCGUUUGUGGGUCACAAAUAAUUAUUUCCAGGAAACCAAGGUCCUUUUUCUUUCUCUCCUACUGCCGUUUCGUCUUCUCUCAAGCCGUUUCGUCUUCUGUCAAAAAACAAAAAAAGUUAUAUUCUUCUUUUUCCUGGUCAUGAUAGCCGGGUUCGAUUGGAAAUAGUCUUUUUAUCCUUUCGGGUAGGAGUAAGGCUCGUCUACAUAUUACCCUCCUCAGACCUUAUUUUGUGGAACUAUACUGGGUAGUUGUUGUUGUUGUUGUUUCCUGGUCAUGAUAAUUAUACCAUUAACAUAUCAUAAUCAAUGUGAAUCACCUUACUUUAUAGUGAAAUCAGCAUGAGAAUUGGUUAAAAGCACCUCUACAAAAAAUAAAAAAGUUUGUUAGAAAGAGAGUAACUCUCUUAACAUACCCAAGGUACUUUUCCCCAACAAUAAGAUAGCAAAUAAAAAAUAAAAAAUAAAAAUAAAAAAUAAAAAAUAGAAUUAACACUGGAUUAAGAUGUUUAGAACAUAUUUGAAUUGAGAUUUGGUUGGGAAUAACAUAUUCGAGUCCAACGGUGAUGUAGAUAAUUCUUUAUACCUUUCUCCAUAUUAUAAUGUCAAAGCUAACACCGUGACAUUUUUGGACUUACCCUUAAAAUUUUAAAUAGUUUGCUAACCAUCAUAGUGAUGCUUCAACUAAAAUUUUUGAAGCACAACUUAUUAUCAAGUGAGAAUUUCGAAUUAGUAUCAUGUUGUCCGAAUCAGUUUGUACACAAUUUGACUAUUAUAUAUUAAUUUUCAUCAAACUGCCUACCAAACUUUAGAUUAGGGAUGUAAAAAUAAAAUCGAUAGAUCACAUCAACUUAAUAAUUCGAGUUAAAUAUUUUCGACUAUGAUUUGAUUGGCUAAUCAAAGUUAAAGCUGCCAGCUUUUUUUGAAUGGGUCACCAAUAGAACCGUCGGUUCUUCAGAAUCUAACAUCGGUUUAGUGUUGGAUGAAAACCCCGAUCAUACUUGAUUUGGUUUGAUUUUAACUAAAAAAAGUCAAACCAUAACCAAACUAAUCCGACAUUAUAUGCAUAGAUGUUUUAAAUAUAUUUUUAAUACAUAAGACUAUUUAUUAUAGUGUAGUUUAUAAAUAUUUCUUAAACUUUUUCAUAGUUUUAUUUUUCCACAUAUUAUUUCAAACUUGGACUUAUAAUUUUCAAAUGAUCCAAUAAGUUUUAUAAUUCAUAAAUGUUAGUAACUCAAAUAAAUCCUAAAUCAAUAUCAUAUUAAUAAUAUUGCUAAUAAAAGAUAUUCAAUGCAAUUGUACUAUGAAUGAAAAUAGUAUUGGACAUUUAUUUUUUAGUUUUUUUUGUUUAAAUAAAAUGCGUAACUUAUUUUUCUUUUAGUGCUUAGUCAUGUAAAUUAUAGUACUUAUUAGUCGUACUUAUUGUAGCAACUUAUUAGUAAUUUUAAAUUAUGUUUGUUUCAUUAUGACUUAUUAAUAACACUUAUUUUAUACGAUUUUAUUAUUGUUAUUGUUGAACAUUUUAAUACAAUGCCAUAACUCAUCUCAUAUUUAUGUUAUUUGAUUGGAAAAUACCUUAUAUAUUUAUAUCUUACUAGGAUUAAAGAAAUAUCUGGAGCACAAAUUCUAUAUUUUGUACUAUGAAGACUUUAUGAGGAAAAACCCGAGAAAAUUUGAGGUUUAAAAAUCUGACUUUUAUUGGUUUGGCCUUUAGAUUUAAUAACCCGAUACAAUUGGUUUGGUUUGGUUUGAUUUGGUAAUUAGAAAAUCUGAACCAACCGGACCUAUAUACACCCAUACUUUAGACCGAUAAGAAAAAAUCAACUAACUCUUUUUUUAUCUUUGAUUUAGUAGGCAUUUGGACAUAAAAAUUAUAAUUUAAAAAAAAUACUUAGAGUUAAGUUGAAGAAUAGGAUUUGAAAGUUCAGUUAUAAAGGAUACAAGCAAAGAGAUAGCAGUUUAUGUGCACAUUCGGGAACCUCUCUUAGACACUGGAAGGAUAUUUUGCGAAGACUAGAUCACUACCCGUAGGGAAAAAAAGGGAAGCAUUAUAUGUUUGUCUUGAUUUAAAGUAUAUAGAGCAUAUGGGAGUGUUUUCAUUUUAGACUGUUUUGAAAUAGUAGCUAGUCAGCGGCUACUGGAAAAUUCUGUAAUAUUUUAAUCUAUUGAUGAAAUGAAAUUACUAUUUAAAAAAAAAUAGUAUUUGGAAUUUGAAAUUAUGUUUGGAUAUAUAUUUCAUUUGAAAAAAAUAUUAGAGUUUUGUGACUGGGGAAAAAUAUUUUCUGAAAUUUUGAAAAAGUAUUUUGCAAAGAAUUCAUUUUUGAAAUUUUUUGAAAAACUUAGAAAAUUUAAUGGACAAAAAAUUUUAAAAAAAAUUCUAAAAAAAAAUUAUGGACAAACCGGUUACUCAUUCCCCUCUAAAAGAGAAAAGGUCUUUUAUCUUAUGAAAGGAAAUUAAAGUAAAAAGGGUAAAAAUUGAAAUAGGUUCCCUCUCAAAUCUGAACGACAUCGUUUUACAAUAAAUUUUACCACUACAAAGGUGUGUGGUCUUUGACAGAAUCUAGACGUUGUUGUCGUUAUUUGAUCCAACAUAGUCCAACGUUACACUGCUAUCACUGUUCAGUUUUCAGUACUUUGUUACACUCUUUUUUUGAUAACUUCACCCACUACUCUCCUCCUCUCCCUUCCAUACAUUGUUAUCUCUCUUUUUCCUUGUACUACUCUCUGUCAUUAUUUUCUUCUUGUUUUACUUUAUAAUAUAAUGGAUGCUUCUGAAAUCUCUAGUGCCAAUGCUGCUGUUAAUUUGUUCAGUUCUUGUACUGAAAUGGAGGAGAAAGGUUGUGUUGUUAGGGCAGAAAUUGACACUUCUGCUCCUUUUGAGUCUGUGAAAGAGGCUGCUACUCGAUUUGGUGGAAUUGGGUUUUGGAAACCUACUCUUCACAAGUCAUUUGAGGUCUCUUCUUUUUGUUUUCUCUGUCCAUUUUCGUAUAUUUGAGCAAGAGUGUUCCGAAAUAAGCUCUUUACUCCUUCCCAGACUCCAUUAGUUGUUGUUGUUGGCCAUUUUCGUAUCCACAAUGCACAUUUUUUUGCUUAACUUUGUGAUUAUUUUACCUUAGACAUUAGAGAAAAAAGUGAAUCUUUUUUGGUAUGUCUACCUUCUACCAAGAAACAAUAUGGAGUACUUAUUGUUUAAUGGAAAAAGUAGAUUAUUUGGGCAAUACUGUAAUUUAGUCUUAGGGGAAAACAUUUCUGAAGUUGUUGCACAACCAAUGUUUGCAUAUUUCAUGAAUCUUGAAAGUAGUAUGUAGCAUUCCUUUGCCGCAGUGGCUGCUAAAUUUGUGUUUGUAUGUAUGUGGAUUUAACUUAAAUACACUGACAAUCAAGAAGUUUUUGCACCAUCAGUGUGCUUUAUAACCUGUUUUAUGAAGUUAAUCUUCUAUUAACUACUCUAUUACAUUGUUAAUUGCAUGGAAACAGAAAAGGUAAAAUAUGGUCAAGGUUGGUCAACUGAACACCCUUUACCGAAAAAUUAUACUAUGUAUAAGGGUAAGACUUUCAACACCCUCGCGUAGCCCACCAGCAAAGGGUGCUUAAAAUUUGAAUACUCUUGUUGAAUUUCCUGGCAUUGCCACUGGCCAUUAGAGGUGUAGCCUUCGGCUUUAGGUUUAGGAUGGUUCAGAACAAUGUCAUUAGGUAAUGCCACUUAGUAUGAAAUCUUAGCAUAUACUUGUGGAAGUGCUACAAUAGCAUAAUAGUAUGUUUCAAUUUCUCGACUAAAUUCUAAGAAUCAAAUUCUUCAAAUUCCAACAUGUUAGUCCUAACUGUAUUAAUGGUGUCCUUGUUGUAUUCGUAGACCAUAAAAUGAAUUUUUAUAUUUCCAAUCAAAAUCCUAAAAUGUUGUACCUAACUUGCUUCUUGGAUGCUAUAUGUUCAAUUAUUGAUUUUAUUUGGCUUGGCUAUAGGGUGCUGAAGCGAAGGUUGACAUUGCUAAAGUGGAGGAACAGGCGGCACAGUUGGAAAAAGAUCUGAUUGUGAAAGAGAAGGAAACACUUGAGGUAUUAAAAGAAUUGGAAAGCACUAAAGUUAUGAUUGAAGAGCUGAAAUCAAAGUUGCAGAACGAGGCAUCCGAGGUCACUGCUACACUAACUGCUGAUGCCGAAGCCAAGGAUGUACAUCUUGCUGGUGAAAUGGCAGAGAAGGAAAACCAUGAAAUGAAUAUUGUAAGCGAUAAUCAGGACACAACUGGUGGUUUGGAUCUGUGUCCCUCUUCAGCUACAGGUUUUAUCUUAUUGGAAUUAAAACAGGCUAAACUAAACUUGACCAGGACAACUAGUGAUCUUGCUGAUAUUCGAAUCACUGUUGAAUCAUAUAACAAAAGAAUUGAAAAAGAGAGAAUCUUGCUUGAGAAGACCCGCCAACGGCUAUCAUCAAGUUCCUCGAAAAUCUCAUCUCUUGAAGAAGAGUUAAAUAAAACAAAAGAAAAACUAAAGUUGGUGAAAGACGAUGAAGUUAGUUCUUGUGAUCCUGUGGAUUUGACAAGGGAGCUUCAGAGACUGACUGCUGAGACCGAGCAGUUUAAGAAAGUGGGAGAAGCUGCAAAAUCAGAAGUCUUGAGGGCUUUGUCUGAGAUUGAACAGACAAAGACAAGGAUCAAAACAGCAGAGAUCAGGUUGGUUGCAGCCAAGAAGAUGAAAGCAGCAGCUAGAGCUGCUGAAGCUGUUGCCCUUGCUGAAAUCAAGGCUAUAUCAAACAGUGAGAUGCAACUAAGGUGGCCUGAAGACGGUGUAACUCUUACCUUUGAGGAGUACUCGUCUCUACUGUCCAAAGCUCAAGAUGCACAGGAAGCUUGCAAGCAAAGAGAAGUAGAUGCAAUGAUGUUAGUGGAUGAAGCUAUUGUGUCAAACGGCCUGAGGACGGUGUAACUCUUACCUUUGAGGAGUACUCGUCUCUACUGUCCAAAGCUCAAGAUGCACAGGAAGCUAGCAAGCAAAGAGAAGUAGAUGCAAUGAUGUUAGUGGAUGAAGCUAUUGUGUCAAAAACAGGAAUCUUGAAG
rnacentral:lncRNA from 1 species